UGUAAGUGAGUCUCAUAUAAGCAAGUUAACAUAUCUUCAAGCCAUAGUCAAGGAAACAUUAAGAUUGUAUCCUCCUGGUCCUCUUUUGGCACCUCAUGAAAUUAUAGAGGACUGCAUUUUAAGUGGUUAUAAUAUAAAAAAAGGAACUCGUCUAAUCACAAAUCUUUGGAAGAUUCACACAGACAAGAAUGUUUGGGAAGAUCCAUUGGAGUUCAAACCUGAAAGGUUUCUUACAACUUACAAAGAUCUCGAUGUCAAAGGUCAUCAUUUUGAGCUAAUACCAUUUGGAGGUGGUAGAAGAAUGUGUCCAGGAAUAUCCUUUGGCCUUGAAGUAGUGCAAUUCUCUCUUGCUAGUAUUUUGCACUCUUUUGAAUUUUUAAGUUCAUCACCUGAUCCUAUUGACAUGACCGAAACCUUUGGAUUAACCAACACCAAAGGCACUCCACUUGAGAUUCUUAUUAAACCACGUCUAUCUUUUAGUUGUAACGAAAACAACUAAUCCAUGUGCUAGCUAUGCUGUCACAAUUUGUUUUCAUUUAAAGUACUUUUUUUCUAUAAUAUUGUUCAAAGUCUUUGUUAUCUUUGUAUUUUCAUUCAAAGUGCUUGAUAUAUUUGUACUUUCCUUCAAAGUACUUGAUAUAUUUAUAGUUUAUCUUGGUAAACUUUGAAACUCUUUCAAAUAUAUAUUAUUUUUAGUAGACUUUCUUUAUUGAGUCAGGUUAGAGAGUUGGACCGUAUUUAGAGAUUCAUUGCUUAAUUCUUAAUCGCGGAUUGAAGUGAUUAAUCCUAUUUGAACGUAAUUGUAUUUAUGUUGUCGAUCAGUUCAUUAAUGUGGAUUACGAUCUCGAUCGGUCACUGAUAAGUCUCGAGAGAUUACAUUAGUCGAUACAAUUAAUGAAUUGCUUAAUUGGUUAACCGUGACUGAUGAAGGUGUGCAAUAAUUGGAAACCAGAGGCAAAAUACAGAGUGCACUAAUUAGCUUAGCAAAUAAUAAGAAAGUGAUGCAUAACAGUUUCACAUAGAAAGAGUUUUGCAAAUCCUUCAACGGGUGGGUGCCAUUUUUACAUGCACCACAUCUCUUUUUUCAGGUAAGUCACGUACUACUUUAAUAUUUAUGUACCCUUUGAUUAAAUGCCUCAUUGGUCAAUGAGCUUACGAUUAUAACACAUCAUUUUCUUAUGCUUUCAUAUUAUAUUAAUAUUCAAAUGACCUACACUGCAAAAUGAUGUGUUAGUAUAACGUGUUUUAAUUUUAAUUAUAUCUCUAUACUUUUUUUCUAUUAGUUUUAAAAGUCUUCUCUUGAUUUGUGCGUCUUAUCUUUAGUCGGGGAUUCUUUGCAUUUUUCCAAUUUUCUCAUAUGUACCACGAGGAACAAAGUCUUGUUUUUUGAAUUUUCUUAGCAGUAAUAGAAUGAAAAUUUUGACUUAUAUGUAAAAAUAUUAUUCAGUAUUACUGGAGCAAUUUUGUCCCAUUCACUACUUUAUUGUUGAGUGGUUCAAUAUUUGUGGCUGAAGACAUCAUAUAUAUAAUAUAUGCGAACCUUAUAUUAUUUUAAUUUAUUUCUUUUACAUGAACUUGGACUUUAUUGAUUCUGGUCUAAAUUAUACACCUUAACCUACCCACAUUCACAAUUCACUUAUGAACAUCUUUUUUCUUAAAUAUCAAUUAACCUUGGAAGAUAUAUACAACAAAUAUCAAGCUAUUAAGGUCAAUAUCUUGUGUUCAUAACACAAUAUUUUUUUCUCAACAAAUCCUUAAAAUAUAUCCUUAACUAUUUUUAAUUAAAUAUUUUAAAACAUAUAUUUUUUAAUUGUUUUUUAUCGUUUAAUUUUUUAUUAAUUAAGUGACAUGAUUAUUAUUUUUCUUACCAUCUUGCGGUUAAUAUAAAAUAAAACAAUAUUAUAGUUAAUGUAAAACAAUAAGCUUAACUAACUUUAUUUUUUCAUAAAAGAAUUAUUAGAUAACGAGUUUAUCAUGUUUUUUUAGUUGUAAUUUUCAUGUCAUCAUAUACCAUAAAAAAAAGAUCAUCACCAUUGAUAUAAAUAGCAAUUAUCAAACACUUUUUCAAUGAAAAUAAUAAAAAUCACUUUUCAAUUUACAUUAAUCACAAUUUAGUUUUAUAUUAAACACAAAACAUCACAUUUUUAAUAUGUGGAAACAAGUAGCAGAGUAAUGGAAUAAAAUAAAAGUAAUGUAAACCACACAAAAUUAAACAAAAAAAAAAAUUCAAUUUUUUUUUUAAUACUAUUUAAUAAAAAUAACCUAGACCUUGAACCCUAAAUUCAUAGUAUUUUGAUUUUUAAAAAAAAUAAAUUUUGUCUUAUUUUUAAAAAAAAAUAUACAAUUUGAUCUGUUUUAUUAAAUUAACAUAAAGAGGAGGAAGUGGUGACAUGAUGUGACAAAGUUAUAAACGCACGUAUAAAAAUGUUAUAAAGUAUGAUUUAAAUUAGUAAUUACAAUUCACUGCAUAAUAAUUUAAAUUUUAAUAUUUUGAAACUUAACCUUAUAUAUUUUAAAUAUUUUUUAUGGCAGCAAACUUUGAAAAUAGUUAUUAAUUAUUAUUAUUAGUGGUAGUUAUAUCUUAUAAAAAUUACAACACAAUUUCCAAGUAAAAUCAUACUUAGUCUUUGAAAAGUUUGACUUUUCCUUCUCUCUGAAGGAAUGAAGGAUCUAUUUAACCACUCCUACUUUACCCUACCUGAAACACACAGAGCCUCAACUCGCUCAAAUGGAUUUGGUUGUAAAUUCCUUGAAUGCAACCACCAUUGCACUCGCUUCUCUAAUUCUCUUCUGUUUCUUUCUCUAUGGUCUCUUCAAAUUUUCUCGAGGGAAAGAACCUCCCACAGUUGCAGGUGCAUGGCCAAUACUUGGUCACCUUCCAUUGAUGAGUGGUUCAAAGUCACCCCACAGAACUUUGGGUGCUUUGGCCGACAAAUAUGGACCCAUUUUCACCAUCAAACUUGGUGCGAAAAGGGCUGUGGUAAUCAACAACUGGGAAAUAGCAAAGGAAUGCUUCACCACAAACGACACAGUCGUUUUCGGUCGCCCCAAGCUUGUUUCGGUGGAACUCAUGAGCUACAACCAAGCCAUGUUUGCCUUAGCACCCUAUGGUCCCUAUUGGCGAAAAAUAAGAAAGCUUACAAUUUCAGAGAUUCUCUCCCCUCAGCAAGUGAGGCAGCAACGUCAUCUUUUUGAGUCAGAGGUUCAAGAAUCGAUCAAGGAGCUCUUUGACCUUUGGCGCAGCAACAAGAAUGAGAGCGGCUAUGCCUUGGUGGACUUGAAGCAAUGGUUUUCUCAUCUGAUAUUCAACAUGGUCCUUCAAAUGAUUACAGGGAAGCGAUAUUUCAGUGCAGCAACUGUAGACGAUGAGAAGGCACAGAGAUGUGUGAGGACUGUGGAGGAGUUGAUGCGUCUGAUGGGGGUGUUCACAGUGGGAGACGCUGUUCCUUGGUUGAGACGGUUUGAUUUGGGAGGGAAUGAGAAGGCUAUGAAAGAAAUUGCUAAAGAGUUGGAUAUUAUUCUUGGUGAGGAGUUAGAGGAACACAGAAAAAGGAAGGGUUUGGGUGAAGCUAAAGAUUUCAUUGAUGUGAUGAUUUCCUUGUUUGAUGGAACAAUUACUGAUGGGGUCGAUGCAGAUACCGUUAUCAAAUCCACCAUACUGGUAUGUAUCUUCAAUAUGAACAUUAUAAUCCUUUCAAACUUCAACCGUCUAGUAUUUUAUUUUUCUUUCUAAUUUUGUUUUCUGCAUGGCACAGUAUAGCAUGGUUGAAUAGUGUAUAUUAGGGAUAACGAUCUGAGUCAACCCAUUCUAGAUAGAUAUGUCCUGUUAAAAAGUACAGAUUAAUUCUAUUGGUUUAUCUCUAAGGAAAAGAUUUCUUUAACAUCCAAAAAUAAAAUACAUACAAUUUAACAAAUCAUUAUAAUAAUAUUUUUAAAUUAAAAAAUAAUAUAACAAUGUUCUGAUUUUCAAUAAAAUUUGAAUUUUGAUUAUAAUAAUAAAUUAUUUAAUAAAAUAUUUUAUUAAAUAUAUACAUUUUUUUAAAGGUAAAUACAUUAUUACUAUUAAUUUGAAAAAUAAUAUAUUUAUAUAUAUAAUACAACCUUUAAAUUUUAUUAUAAAAAAGACUAAGGUAUUUUUUUUUUUUGAAAUGUCCCUUUUAAUUCAAUUUUAUUUUUUGUUGACAAAAAAAAUAUACUUUUUAGAAAGAUAAAAAACACCAUUUAUUAAAAAAUCAUUAUUGAAUUUUGUGAGGGUGAUAUAAAUUAGGGAUUGAGUGUAGAUUCUUCCUGCAUCUCCAUGCCUUUCUUCUUGCAUCCCAUUAUACAAAAAAUACUCAAAUUAUGCUUUGGCAUUUUUCUUUAAUUCCGAAAUGUGACAUUUAAUUUGGAAGUUAAAAUUUGUUUUGGGAUUGUACAUUAUUUCAGAUUGUACAAUCCAAAAUACAAAUUUGUAUACUAGAUUAUUGAAUUUGAAAUAAAUAAUUUUACAACUUUUGAGAAUAAGAGGUUGCUAGAAGAAAUAAAUAAGAUGAAGAAAUUAAAUAAAUUUAUGAAUUAAAAUUAGUUUAUAUAUGAAUUAAAAAUAAUAUUUUAUGUAAAUUGAUUUUAAUAUAUGAUUUUUUUUUUGUUUUAUAGAAGAACUUGUGAAUAAAACCAUAUUCUUAAUUUGUUUAAUUUGCAGACACUGAUUGCAGGAGGAACUGACACAAGUAGUGUUGUUCUUGUGUGGGCAAUGUGUUUGAUUUUGGGAAAUCCUUUGGUAUUGGAAAAAGUGCAAGCCGAACUAGACAUUCAUAUUGGAAAAGAGAAAUGCGUAAGUGAGUCUGAUAUGAGUAAGUUAACAUAUCUUCAAGCCAUAGUCAAAGAAACUUUAAGAUUAUAUCCUCCGGGUCCUCUUGCGACACCUCGUGAAUUCACAGAGAAUUGCACUUUAGGUGGUUAUAAUAUAAAAAAAGGAACUCGACUAAUCACAAAUCUUUGGAAGAUUCACACAGACAAGAAUGUUUGGGAAGAUCCAUUGGAGUUCAAACCUGAAAGGUUUCUUACAACUUACAAAGAUCUCGAUGUUAAAGGUCAUCAUUUUGAGCUAAUACCAUUUGGAGGUGGUAGAAGAAUGUGUCCAGGAAUAUCCUUUGGCCUUGAAGUAGUGCAAUUCUCUCUUGCUAGUAUUUUGCACUCUUUUGAAUUUUUAAGUUCAUCACCUGAUCCUAUUGACAUGACCGAAAACUUUGGAUUAGCCAACACCAAAGCCACUCCACUUGAGAUUCUUAUUAAACCACACCUAUCUUUUAGUUGUUAUGAAAACAACUAAUCCAUGUGCUAGUUAUGCGGUCACAAUUUAUUUUCAUUCAAAGUAUCGUUCAAAGUCUUUGCUAUCUUUGUAUUUUUGUUCAAAGUGCUUGAUAUAUUUUAAUUUUCCUUUAAUGUACUUGAUAGAUUUAUAGCUUAUCUUUGUAAACUUUGAAACUCUUUCAAAUAUAUCAUUAAUAAAAAGAAUAAUUACACCGCAUAUUCUCACUACUUUAUUCCUUCUUUAUCGAUAUUUUCUUUAUAUUUUUCAAGUCCCUCUUAUGGAAAUAAAUCUUUGUAAAUUUUUUUCCUCUAUACAUCCUUCCAACUAGUAAGGCUCUGAUUUGGAUGUGAUUUGAAUCAUUCUUUAGCUUUUCCUGUCAAUGAGAAAGGAAAUAAACGUAGAUAAACAGUUUCAAUAUCACCUGAUUGAAAGUCUAUUGUUCCUACCAAUUCAUAAAAUGUAGACAAAUGUGUAUAUGGAUCCUCAUGGUCCAUUGUUGUAAAUUGAUGGGUACUUAUCAGACUGAGGAAUGCAGGUUUCAUCUCCAAGGCGUUGGUGGUAGAAGGUAUUGCAAUACUAGAGAAAUGAUGGCCUCUGGUGCAUAGCAUAAUCUCCAAGUGUUCUCUUGGGUUGUUGAUGACUUUUUACGGCAAGUGCACUGUGUUUGUCAGAAGUAAUAAUUGUCCCUAAGAACGAAUAUCAAUCCACAAGGAACAAUGAAGUGAAUUAUUGAGUACAAAAUUCGCUAAAUAUAACAACAGAACAAUAAAAAGAGUUUUGAAGUGAUUGUGUUGACACCGAUCAAUAAUAAAAUAAACAAAGAAUUAGUUGCUUGAAUUGAAAAAAUAGGGAUUAGGUUUCAUUUUUCUCACUCUCAUGUAUUUUGAUUAGGAUGUUAAUAUUAAGUUCUUUGAUUGAAAUUGAUGGCCAUAAAAAAUUCAUUUUUAUCGAUCCCUCGCAUAUAAAAUCCUUAAAAAUGUUUCCUAAAUAUCGAUCCCUUGCAUAUUUAUAAAAACAACUUAGAAUCCCAUUGAGACGUUAAUGUCAAUUAACAUUUCAAGUUUAUCCUUAACACUCAAAUAUGUUAAGUAUUGUUGUUCAGGUUUGAACCCUAAAAAUACCUCUCGGUUAGAUUUAAGACUAUCAAUUUGUCACGGAAAGUUAAAAGUAAAACAACAAUACCAAUAAUCAAUCAAGAACUUAAUAUUAAUAUAUAAGAUAUCACCUCAAUAUAUAAGAGUUUGAGCAUAUUACUCCAAAUCCAAAAUGGUAAAAUUAGCCACGCAUACUUCUAGCACCUUCCAUUCUCCUAAUUGGGUUACAAUUCACUCUAUGGUGUUUUCCUCUCAAUCUGACACAGUAGGAUUGAGCCUCUAGCCCCCUAUUUAUCCUAAUUUUCUAGGGUUAGGUCGCUUCUUAUGUCGUGCUAAUGGGCUAAGUGAUAAAACAUAAAAAAAACCCCAAUCUUUCUGACGUAUUCUCGCUCAAGCGAGAUACUCUUGUGGCGAAAUAGUCUUUUUCUGCAUCUCUUUGCAUUCUAGGACCUACCUUCUAGCUUUAUCUUUUUAGCUCAAAUUAUUCUCCUUUACUCCAAAUCUUCAAUCCUCCCUAAAAAUAUGCAAUUAACACCAAAUUUGGGAAUAAAAUUCUCUUAUUCAAAUAAAGAUCAUACAAAAUGUAUAAAUUCAUAAAUUAGAGAUUAUUCUAUAUGUAAAUUAGCAAUAAAUCCUCCUAAGUGCCUAAAUUUUAAUAUGAAAUAUUACUGAAAUUAGACACUUAUGAGUUGUGGUGGUGGUUUUUUUUGGCUAUAAUGCUUUCUUCUUGAAAAAUAUUAAUGGGAAGGAAAAAAAUGGUUAAGGAUUCUUCUAUAGUCUCUUUGUUUUUCUGUUCUCUUUCUCUCGUUGUUUCUUGUAGCUGCCUUUUCAAUCUCUAAUUUAAACAAUUGAGGAUUCUUCUAGCAGAAACAAUUUAAGCCAUAACAGUUCUUGGAGUUAAUCUUUAAAAGGUUUAAUUUGUAUUUUUUAGAAGUUCACAGUGUAUAAAAAAAUAAUUUUCUUUAAAAAUUAGAUUCAAAUUGGUUCUACAACAAUGUGCUUUGAUAAAAGACUUUACUUUUAAAUUGUAAAGCAAGAUUCAAAUCAGCUUUCAAUAACCGUCUAUUUAAACAAUAAAACACUUUAAAUCACAUUUUAAAAUCAAAUUUGAUAUGAUGAUGUUUAAAACCAGUUCCAAAACGAGAUUUCUUAUUGAUGGUUUGUUUUUAAGUAUGAACUUGUCAUCAAAGACACCAUCCAGUUUUUAAGUUUGAUUAAUUUCUUUAGUUGUUAGAAGUAAUGAAUACGAGAGAAGAAUAACACACAAUGAUUUAUACUAAUAUGAGAGAAGUAGUGUAUAUACUCUUACUUACGAUAAAGAAUUAUAAAAAUUAAAAGAAGUAAAACUUGACGAAAUUUGUACUUCCAUCAUUAUUUUUUCCUUUAUCACUUAUUUCUAUACUCUUUCUUUAACAACAUUGUAAUAUAGCGAUUUUUUAUAACAAAAUAUGAAAUAAUUUUAAAACGUGUGAAGAAAACGGUAUGGAUGAAUGGAUACGUUAUAUUGAUAAAUAAAUAAACCACAUGCGUUGGUUUUAAUCAAGACAAUAACUUGACAUAUACAUACGUAUCUCCAAAAUUUUAUUUACCCAAUUCUUACCAAAAAUAUUUUAAAAUAAUUAAUUUGUCGUCGUAUAAAUUCUCACUUCUAAUUGAAAAAUGUAUGAGCAUAUUUAUUUUCCAAUUUGUAACAAAAUUUACGAAUUUAUAUAUAAUUUUACAAUAAUUAUUUUUUAGUUUAUUAACAUGGCAUAAAAUUAAAGUUUUCGUUUUCUUUUAUUGACAUGUUGGUCGAAUAAGAGGUUUUUUUUAUUUUAUUUUAAUUUCUUUAAUUAUUUAAUUACCUAAAUUAUUUCAAUCAACACAACAAGUAAGAUAGGACGUUUAUAAAUAAUUAUCAGAAUAAUAUUUCAUUAAGUAAACUAAUUCUUAAUAUUUUAGAACAGUUACCAACAAGUAUCCACAGUUAAAAAAUAAAAAUAAAAAUAUAAAUUUAAUAUAUUAUAAAAAAAUAGAUUUGAAUAUUACACUUAUCAAAAUUACUUUCUAUUUUAGUUUCUAAUUUUUUUUAUAGACUCUUGAAUUAAAAAAUUAAAAAUAUUUUUUAUUCAUCCCAAUCUAAAAGUGAUAGUUUAGUCUUUUGAAAUUUAAAUACUAUUUUGAGUUAUCUAAUUUAUUAAUAAUUGACAAAUUCGUUAAUAAUUAUAGAUUCAAUUGAAAAAAAUAAAGAAUAAAAAAAACAAAGCAUCAAUGACAUAAACUCAUAAUAAUGAAUCCAGACACUGAAUUACAAAACAUUAUUUUAUUUAUAUGAAUUCGAUUGCACUUUCUUUAUAAUGAUAUUUCUUUUGAGUUUUAAUUAUCUAGAAAUUUUCCAAACAAUUAUAUGUGACAAAGCAUGAACAUGAAAUCAAUAACAGUAUAUAUGAAGUUGAAUGUGUAACGAUGUGACCAUUUUACACUAUCAAUCUAUUCCAUGUUUUUCCAUUACAAUUUGAUUUGUGUGCUUAAAGUGAUCAAUCAUGGAUGCAAAUAAUGAUGAAAUAGAAAUUAAUAUGCUCAUAAAAAAAUAAAGGCAACGUUGGUGUACCUAACAUGGUGGUGACGAACUACAUCAACUACAUUAGAACAGUUCUUUUAUGGGUGGUGUGUGUGCUGCCUUAUGUGAAUAAGGAAAAUUUUACGUAUAUAUUGUGGAGGUAGGAAAAGUUUUAUCUACCCCACGGGACGCCAAAUGUUCUAGCCAAGAGGGAUGUCUCCCUACUAAAGCGUACAAUUAAGCCAGAAACAAUGGUUUCUAGCCCUAAAGUGUUUGUCAGGUCAUCUUCUUUCCCUUAUAUAAGUUAGUGCUCUCCUCCCUUUUUGUAUCCCUUCUUGUUUUGAGUUAUAUUUUCAAAUUGAUUACAAUCACAUAUAUACGGUCGAUCUCCAUAAUCAACGCACUCUCCUCUUUAUGAAAAAUAAAUAAGAUCUUUUUCAUUAAUUUCAGAGAUAGACUAUUUCACCACAUCAUCGGUCUGAUAAGUUCAUAACCAUUAUUUACAUAGAUCGACACAAAAACCAUUUCACCAUGUGAUAACACUCGAUCCAUGAUCUCACAAUACCAAAUUAAAAGAAUUCUUAAUUUUUUUUGAAAAUAAAGCUAUUUUGAAAUUGUUGUUAAAUUAUUUCAUCUUAAUAUUUAGGUCUUAUUUUCAAAAUUUGAAUUCCAACACGAUUUAUCUAUUAAUAUAACGUGUCUUAAUUUUAAUUAUAUCUCUCUAUACUUUUUUAGUAAGUUUUAAAAGUCUUGUCAUGAUUUGUGCGUGUUAUCUUUACUCGGGGACUCUUUGUAUCUUUCCAAUGUUCUCAUAUGUCCCACAAGAGACAAAGUCUCUUUUCAAUUAUUUUAGCAAUAAUAGAAAACUUACUUAUUUUAAAAUACUAUUCAGUAUUAUUAGAGCAUUCUUAUUGGGGUAAGUCAGGUACUACUUUAAUGUUUAUGUACUGUUUGAAUAAAUGUCCCAUUGAAAAAUGUGAGCAUUUUUGUCCCAUUCUUAACUUUAUUGUUUGGUAGAAAUUUUUCGUCCGGAAGAGUAAUUAAGUGGUGCAGUUUCUACCUAACUCUCCGGCCACCUGUUUAAUGCUAAUACGUCGUCAUUCGUGCUCAUAUGUUGAUGCGAAAAGAUUUAUUUCACAUUAAAAACAUAUAUUUAACAUCACAUUAUUAUAAUAAUAUAAUCAGGUUUAAAAUUAAAAAAUAAAUUAAAUAUAUGUUUAAUAUGUCUCAGUUUUUUUUUUCAGAAAAUGUUUUUUAUGAAUGAUUUAAAAUGUUUUUUUUCUUAUUUUUAUAAUUAUAAUAUAAUCUUUUAGAAUAAAAAUUUAAUUUUUAAAAAAUUAAUAUGUUUUUUCUUUUAAAAAUUUUGUUAGAAUUCUAAUAAAAUUGUCAAAAAUUUUAAAAAUAUAUUUAAGAGACGUAUUUAACUUAGUUUGAUAAGUAAGAGAUUUGUGAAAGGUAUUAAUUAAAAGAGUGGUGAUAUAUUAACACUUUUAAUGAUAAAAACACAUUUUUUUUUAAAUAAAAGUUUUCAUGUUAGACAUCAUUAUGCAGUUUUUACACUUUUUAUACUAUAAUAAAUUAAUAUUUUAUUUAUUUUUAUUUUAUUUUUUAAUUUAAAAAUAUUAUUAUAAACAAUGUAAAUGUAUGUUUUUUUAUUCACUAUAAUAAAAUCAUGAAAUAGAAACCAAUUUGUAGAAAUCAAAAUAAUUAGUUGCAAUAGUAACUAAAAAGAAAUUUGGUUUCUAAAUUAGUUUCUAUUAUUGUUAAAUAGUUUCUAAAUUGGUAUCUAAUUAGCAACUAAGGUUUUUCUACCAAAUUUAGAAACUAAAUAAUUGGUAGUUAAAAUCUUAAUUGCUAAUUAAAUAUCAAUUUAAAAACUAUUUAAUAAUAAUAUAAAUUAAUUUGAAAAACUAAUUUUGUUUACUUUCUAAAUAUUUAAUGAUUUUCUGUCUGAACAAAACUUUUCUCUAAUUAAGAAGGAGUGAUACUUUAUAAUUUGUGUUUUAUAAAUAAUUACUUUACAAUUUUGCUAUAGUGAUAUAAUAUUUAAAGUUAUCUAAUUAAUUUAUACUUUUUACAUUUAUUAUAUUAUUAUAGUUGUAAAGUAUUAUAAAAUUAUCUUUAUGUUGAGUAAAAAAUAGAUGAUUUGAUAAGUAAUUAGAGAGAUCUUUAUAAAAGUGGAGUGAUUUUUGUCUAUUAUCACUAUGAAGUUUGUUAUUGACACGAUUUUUCCAAAUUUAGAAAAUAACUAUAUUUUAAUUAUGAGUGGCGGCAAAUAUUAACUCAUCUUUUCAAGAGAGAAAUGAUAUUUUAACUAUAAAAAAUGAUUUGAUUUGAUUGAUUUAAAUAUAAAUAUAUAUUAUAAUAAGAUUGUAUAAAAUAGUAGGGUUGUUAGAAACCUAAGAACAGUGUCAGAGAGUGACUCACAAGUUAGAGAUAUUAAAAUCCAAUUUGUGUAGCCUCAAGCAUGCAUCGCAUACACAAUCUUCUCUCUUGGGUAAAAUGGAUCUAAAUGUUUCUGCAAUUGGACUUGUUUCUCUACUUCUCUUCUGUUUCUUUUUCUUUGGUCUCUUCAAAUUUUCUCAAGGAAAAGAAGCUCCCACAGUUGCAGGUGCAUGGCCAAUACUUGGCCACCUUCCAUUGUUGAGUGCUUCAAAGAGACCCCAUAGAACUUUGGGUGCUUUGGCUGACAAAUAUGGACCCAUUUUCACCAUCAAACUUGGUGCCAAAAGCGCUUUGGUAAUCAACAACUGGGAAACGGCAAAGGAAUGUUUUACCACAAACGACAUAGUCGUUUCCUCUCGCCCCAAGCUUGUUGCUGCUGAACACAUGAGCUACAACCAAGCCAUGUUUGUGGUAGCACCCUAUGGUCCCUAUUGGCGAAAAAUAAGAAAGAUUACAGUUUCAGAGAUUCUCUCCCCUCUGCGAGUGAAGCAGCUGCGUCAUGUUUUUGAGUCAGAAGUUGAAGGUUCGAUCAAGGAGCUCUUUGACUUUUGGCGUAGCAACAAGAAUGAGAGCGGCUAUGCCUUGGUGGAGUUGAAGCAAUGGUUUUCUCAUCUGAUAUUCAACAUGGUCCUUCAAAUGAUUACAGGGAAGCGAUAUUUCAGUGCAGCAACUGUGGAUGAUGAGAAGGCACGGAGAUUUGUGAGGGCUAUGGAGGAGUUCAUGCGUCUGUUCGGGUUGUUCACAGUGGGAGAUGCUGUUCCAUGGUUGAGAUGGUUUGAUUUUGGAGGGCAUGAGAAGGCAAUGAAAGAAACUGCGAAAGAGUUGGAUAGUAUUAUAGGUGAGGAGUUAGAGGAACAUAGAAAAAGGAAGGGUUUGGGUGAGAAGGUUGAUGAAGCUAAAGAUUUCAUGGAUAUCAUGAUUUCAUUGUUUGAUGGAAGAACUAUUGAUGGGGUCGAUGCAGAUACCGUAAUCAAAUCCACCCUUCUGGUAUGUAUAUUCAUUACACACACAUUAUAAUCUUUUCAAAUUUCAACAAAAUUCAACAUACAUAUAAAACGAAUUAAUAUAUAUAUAUAUAUAUAUUUAUAUUGGUGUAUGUAAAUUUUUUCUUAAGAGAUAUUUAAAAAAAAAAAUAGUUUCUAUUAUUAAUAAAUAAUUUCUAAAUUGGUAUCUAAUGUUUUAAUUAUCAAUUAUUUAGAUUUUAAAUUUUGUAGAAAUAAUCUUGGUAGCUAAUUAGAUACCAAAAUAGAAACUAAUAACUUUUUUAGUCUCUAAACUAGUAUUUAAUUUACUCAAUAUAACACCUAGUUAUAUUUGGUAUCUAAAAUUGGUUUCUAUUUAAUGAUUUUCUUGUAGUGAUGGUUGUAUAGUUUAAUAUAUACCAUGAUUGUAAAGUCUAUCUAAAGAACGAGAAUGCCGGUUAGCCUAUCCUAUAUAGGUCUGUUCCAUAUAGAAAAUGAAUGUUGAUUUUAUUGGUUUGUCUUUAAUGCUGAUUGCUUCCCAAAUGUGCACAUAAGAAAUAUAUAUUUUAAAUUAUAAAAAAUAAAUUUUGAAUAUUUUUUUUAUUAAGUUAAUCUUUUAUUUAUUUAAAUGAAUUAGAUAAAUUGUCUCACAAUAUUAUUCUCAUGAUAAUGCCUAAUAAGAUAUAGGUAAAAAAUAAUAUUAUAAUUAUGUUUUGAUUUUCUAUAAAAUUAGAAUUUUAAGGCAAAUACAUUAUUACUAUUCUAAUUUGAAAAGUAAUAUAAAAUAAUAUAUAUAUAUAUAUAUAAUACAAUUUUUAAAUUUUAUUAUAAAAAAAGAGUAAGGUAUGCUAAUGCAUUUGACAUAUGAUGAUAUGCAUUUCAGAAAGACAAAAAAACACCAUUAAAUAUUAAAAAAUCAUUAUUGAAUUUUGUGAAGGUGCUAUGAAUUAGGGAUCCACUGUAGUUUCUUCAUGCACCACCUCCAUGUCUUUCUUCUUGCAUCCCAUAGUUCAUAAAAUAUUCAAAUUAUCCUUUGAUAUUUUUCAUUGAAUGUUUUUCUUUAAUUCUGAAAUGUGGCAUUUCAUCUAGAAGUUAAAAUUUGUGUUUGGGAUUGUACAUUAUUUCAGAUUGCACAAUCCAAAAUACAAAUUUGUAUACCAGAUUAUAGAAUUUGAAAUGAAUAAUUUUAGAAAUUUUGAGAAUAAGUGGCUGCAAAAAAAAUCAUGGGGGUAUAUAUAAAAAAAACUAAUUCUUAAAAAAUGUGGGUUAUACGGGUCAACGUGCCUUAUCCCACACUUUGCCGGUAUGUGCUACGGGUUAUGCGAGGCGGGUCAACAAGUUGAAAUAGCCAGUCUACCCUGUAUUUCUUUUAGCGGGCCAAGGACUGGUCUACACGACCCACUCCGUUUUGCCAUCCAUAAUUUAAGUAACUAGUUACUAAAUAUAAAGUAUUAUAAUUAUGUGAAAUAUAUAUAAUAAAUAAUUUAUUUACGUAAAUUACACUAUAGUAAUUUUAAAUUUGAUUAGAGUAAACACUUGUAAAAUAUUCUUCUAUCAUGUCUAUUGGCAAUUUUUUCAAGUAAAUGUAUCCACAAACACUUACAAAAGAAAUAAAUAAGAAGAAGAAAUUAAAUAAAUUUUUUACAAACUAAAAUUAGUAUAUAUGAAUUAAAAAAAUAUUUUACAUAGAUUUAUUUUAAUAUAUGAUUUGUUUCCCUUAUAGAAGAACUUGUGAAUGACCAUAUUCUUAAUUUUCUUAAUUUGCAGGCAGUGAUUGCAGGAGGAACUGACACAAGUAAUAUUGUUCUUACGUGGGAAAUAUCUUUGAUUUUGAGGAAUCCUUUGGUAUUGGAAAAAGUAAAAGUGGAACUAGACAUUCAUAUUGGAAAAGAGAAAUGCGUAAGUGAGUUUGAUAUAAGUAAGUUAACAUAUCUUCAAGCCAUAGUCAAGGAAACUUUAAGAUUGUAUCCUCCUGCUCCUCUUUCGACGCCUCGUGAAUUCAUAGAGGACUGCACUUUAAGUGGUUAUAAUAUAAAAAAAGGAACUCGUCUAAUCACAAAUCUUUGGAAGAUUCACACAGAUAGUAAUGUUUGGGAAGAUUCAUUGGAGUUCAAACCAGAAAGAUUUCUUACAACUCAUAAAGAUAUUGACGUCAAAGGUCAUCAUUUUGAGUUAUUACCAUUUGGAGGUGGCAGAAGAAUGUGUCCAGGAAUAUCCUUUGGCAUUGAAGUAGUGCAUUUCUCUCUUGCUAGUUUUUUGCAUUCUUUUGAAAUUUUAAGCUCAUCACCUAAUCCUAUUGACAUGACUGAAAACUUUGGAUUAACCAACACCAAAGCCACUCCACUUGAGAUUCUUAUUAAACCACGUCUAUCUUUUAGUUGUUAUGAAAACAACUAAUCCAUGUGUUAGUUAUGCAGUCACAGUUUGUUUUCAUUCAAAGUACUUUUUUUCUAUAAUAUCGUUAAAGUCUUUGCUAUCUUUGUAUUUUCAUUCAAAGUGCUUGAUAUAUUUGCACUUUCGUUCAAUGUACUUGAUAUAUUUAUAGUUUAUCUUUGUAAACUUUGAAACUCUUUCAAAUAUAUCAUUAAUGAAAAGUAUAAUUACAUUGUAUAUUCUCGCUACAUUUACUCUUUUAUACUUAUUCCUUCUUUAUUGAUAUUUUCUUUAUAUUUUCCAAGUCCCUCUUAGUGAAUUCUCAGUGGUUAGCUGAGGACUGAGUGUAGCUCUAGGUUAAGAGUGAAUCAAUAUAAACUUCUUGUGUGAAUCUCUCUAUCCUUACACCCUUUAAACUGUUUUAGCUUUGAUUUUAUAACCUAAUGGUUAAACAACCGGUUGUUUCGCAAAAACAAAUGGUUGAUUUUCUGGAAUCAAACUAAAAACAGUUUUAUAAUUAGAUGAACAAUUUUCUAAUUGAUUGAUUCUUCACUAUGUCUUUCACUCUACCUUCAAUACUAGCGAAAAUCUUUCAAAAACAAUUCACCCCCCUCUUAUUUAAGGCUUAUAAUUCUAACAUCGUCUUCCCAUUAAUGUUAAGAAGUGUACCAAUUAAACUAUCACACACAUUCUUCUUUGCAUUAAAUCAAUACAAUGUCUGAAUUCUAACUUCGACCAAUAUGAAAGAUCAAAGAAGAUUGAUUUUUUCUUCCAUAUGUUUGUCACAAAUGACUUCUUUCUUGACUUCUGAAGGUGUGUCCUAUGUUAUUUACCUUUUCAUAAACCUCAACACUAGUUAAUGGAGUUGGUAGACUGACAGUCUUUUGAUGUCCAUUAAAGACUUUUUUCAACCUCCGGUAAGGAUGGUGACUUCUAAGAAACCUCCACUGCCAAAGAUAUACUAUCUUCCUUUCAUGUUUCAAUUGCUGAAAAGCAGUGUCUUCUUCACAUAUUGGACAUGCUUUUUGACCCUUGACACUACACCCUGAUAAGUUAUUGUAUGCCAAAAAGUUAUUUAUUGUGCAAAAGAACAUGGCAAGCAUCUUGAAAGUUUCAUUAACAAACCAGUCAAAGUGUCAUUAGCAACAUGGCUUACAGUGAAAAUACCGAGGGGUUGUAAAACAUCCUUCAUAGCUUUAAUUCCUACAGUUUCUGACCUAACUAAGUUGCGAUAAUAUAAACUGAUUUCUCUAGUUGGGAUUUUCUAUAAAAUCAUAUCCAAAGUGUUGGCUAACAGAAUUAAGAAAGUCAUGCCUAACAUUAAGAUGAAUCUCAAUCCACAUUCUUGUGGGGGAGAAGGCUUUUGGAUAUCAUUUUAGUGACCAAUGAGGUCGUGGAGGAUAUUAGGAGUCAUGGUAAGAGUGGGGCUAUUGUCAAGGUGGAUUUUGAUAAAACAUAUGACUCGAUGAUGUGACAAUUCAUGUUUUAUAUGAUGAAGAAACUAGGCUUUAGGGAGAAGUGGAUUAGGUGGAUCAAGUGUUGUUUGGUUUCUUCCUCAGUUUCUAUUUUAGUUAAUGGUAGCCCAACUUCUGAGUUCAACCCAUCUAGAGGGUUAAGGCAAGGGGACCCCUUGGUCCCUUUCCAACUCCUUAUCGUUGUCACUACUAGAAAAUCAUUAAAUAUAAACUAAUUUUAGAGAAAAAAAUAAUUAGUUAUUAUAUUGACUAAAUUAGAUAUUAUUUUAGAGACUAAAAAAAAUAUUGGUAUCACUAUGAAACUUGACAUCUAAGUUAGGAUGACACCUCAAGUAACAACAAUCAUCAUCCACCACAUGAAAAAAAUAUCAUUAAAAAAAGGAAAAAAGAAAGAAAGAAAGGAAAUACAAGCCAUAUGAGGAGACUAGACCAAAACCCAUAUACAAAAAUCCUAAGAAAAGUGAUACUUAGGUAAUAUAUCCCUACUAAUAAAGAAUUCUAAGAAAAAACUAGAUGGAAGCCUAUUAACCAAUUAAAUUAUUCUAUAUGAAUAAACCCUAAGUUAGCAAGCUUAUCAGCACAUUCCUUUCCUUAAAAAAAAAAAAAGUGAGAAAUCCCACAUCUGAUUUUCCCAUAGAAAUGAAGGCAAGUGUUCCACCUAUUAUGAAGAAUCCAAGGAACCUUAGUCAUAGUAGUAAAUGCAGCACAAACCAAGGUAGAAUCACAUUCAAGUCAUAAACUAGUAAGACCCAUCUUUUUAGUUUCAUAAAAGGCCUAUAUAACUCCCUAAAACUCAACAACCAAAGUAAUCUAAAAAUCAAGGAAAGCAGAGAAACCACCAAUAAAAUACCACCACAAGCGGCAAAACCAGGAUAACCCCUAGUAACACUAUCAUUAUUAAUUUUAACCCAACCUAGUGAAGGAAACUCUCAUCUAAUAGGAGGAGGAUGAAGAACUUUAUCAUUACGAGUACUAAUAUCAAAGAACUUAAGCACAUUGAAAUCAAACAUAUCAUUCCUUAUAGAACUUUUAGACGAAUUACACAUUAGGUAAGUAAAAUCCUUAAUGGUGGAAAUGGUCCUGAAAAGAUCAAUCUUAACCUGAAAUCUAACAUAAUUUCUCAUACGUCAUAUUAUCCUAGAGAAGGUAAUCACAACAAGUUUAAUCAAAUUAAACAAAUGACUACCAUCGCUCUUAAUAAAAUAAAGGAGAUCACUCACAUUAGAAAAAUGGAAUUAAGAAUAGUCUUUUAAGAUACCUAUAUUUGUUAUAAUUAAAUAUCCAAUUAUUAUUUCUAAAAUUAAAUUAAUUUUAUUACUAAAAAUUAAAUUUUAAAAAUGCAUAUUUGACUUGUAUUUAAAUUUAUUUUUUAUUUUUAAAGUGGACUAAAAUCUUUAGCUCUACCUAGGAGUAGAUCAAACAAAAAAAAUAUAUAAUUUUGAUUAGAAAAAAAUGAAAGUGACCUAAACUGGAUCUUUCAUAAGUAUUCCAUAUAAAUAAACUGAUCUGAUCGACCAACCCAGAAUUAAAAUCCAAUGUCGAUCAUGGAAUGAACCAGAAACACUUUCUAACUCACCCUACUUUUUCCAUCUGUUUUUAGGUUGAAGAUAAACGUGUUGCACUUGAUGAUCUAUAUACUGUCAUCUUCAGCACCUACCCAAUUAAUAAUUUCUACUUCCAACAAAUUUACUGGUUCACAUUUGUCGCUAUUGUUGUAUACAAAUUAUUAUAUGCUUAUUAGUCUGACAUUUUUCUUUUCUAAAUUUGCAAUUAAUAUUACUAUAAGAACAGAAGAAAUUUCACCACAGUGUCAAAUAUAUUUAUCAAUACCAGUUCAAAUAACAUCAGUAAACUUACCUAUGUUAGUACAAUUCCUAUAUAUAUAUAUGCACACUGGCUAAUGAACAAAAUGUGUAUCUUAAUGGAGUUCGUUUUGGAUUACCUUAAUGGCAGUGCCAUUGGUCUUCUUUCUCUAAUCCUCUUGUAUAUGUUUCUCUAUAAUCCCUUCAAAUUUUGUAAGGGAAAGAAGAAAGAGGCUCCCACAGUUGCAGGAGCAUGGCCAAUACUUGGUCACCUUCCACUGUUGAGUGGUUCAAAGACACCCCAUAGAACUUUGGGUGCUUUGGCUGACAAAUAUGGACCCAUUUUCACCAUCCAACUUGGUUCCAAAAAGGCUUUGAUAAUCAACAACUGGGAAAUAGCAAAGGAAUGCUUCACCACAAUCGACAUGGUUGUUUCUUCUCGCCCCAAGAUUCUCGCCUCUGAACUCAUGGGCUACAACCAUGCCAUGUUUGGCUUUGCACCCUAUGGUCCCUAUUGGCGCGAGCUUCGAAAGAUUACAACGUUAGAAAUCCUUUCCCCUCGUCCAGUGGAACAACUGCAGCAUGUUCGUGUCUCAGAACUUCAAAACUGGAUCAAAGAGUUGUAUGAUGUUUGGUGUAGCCAAAAGAGUGAGUCUGGCUAUGCCUUGGUGGAGCUGAAGCAAUGGUUUUCUCACCUCGCAUUCAACAUGGUUCUUCGAAUGGUCGUUGGGAAGAGACACUUUGGUGGUGAAAACUUAGAAGAUGAGAAAGCACAGAGAUAUGUGAGGGCUGUGGAGGAGUUCAUGCGCCUGUUCGGAGUGUUCACAGUGGGAGAUGCUGUUCCAUGGUUGAGAUGGUUUGAUUUUGGAGGGCAUGAGAAGGCAAUGAAAGAAACUGCGAAAGAGUUGGAUAGUAUUAUAGGUGAGGAGUUAGAGGAACAUAGAAAAAGGAAGGGUUUGGGUGAGAAGGUUGAUGAAGCUCAAGAUUUCAUGGAUGUAAUGAUUUCAUUGUUUGAUGGAACAACUAUUGAAGGGAUCGAUGCAGAUACCAUGAUCAAAUCCACCCUACUGGUAUGAAUGUUUAAUUUACACGUUAUAAUACUUUCUGAAAUGUGAAAUUUUAAGAAAAUUAAACUUAUAAUAAGAAAAAUAUACAUUGACAUUAUAGAACUCAUGAAGUAUUCCGUAGAAAAUAAGUAAAAUUAAAUAUCUUUUCUUGUAAAUUAAAAUUAAGUAUAACCUAAGUUAUUUUUAGUAAUAAGUUUUUCAAAUAUAAUCUUAAUUCAUUACAUGAAAAAUAUUAAAUAAAAACUAAUUUUAAAUACCAAAAUAAUUAGUUAAUAUUUGAUAUAAUUAAAGAUCAUUUUAUAAAUUAAAAAAAAUUAUUGAUAUCUAAAUUAUUUUUUUUUAUUAAUAAAAAAUUAUAAAAUAAUUUUUAAAUUGGUAUCUAACCAUUAACUACCAAGGUUUUAGCUACUUACUACUUUAUAUUCUAAAUUAGUCUCUAUUAGUCUUUUAGAGACUAGUUUAUAAUAUAAAAUAUUAGUAACUAAAACCUAAAUAACUAAUUUAGAUAUCAAUUUAGAAACUAUUUUAUAAAUUUUUAUUAAUAAUAUAAAUUAUCUUAGAUACCAAUAAUUUCUUAGUCUCUAAAUAAAUAUCUAAUUUAGUCAAAAUAGUGACUAAUUAUUUUUUAUCUUUAAAUUGGGUUGCUAUUUAAUGAUUUUUUCUAGUGAUUUUCUUCACUUAAAUAUUUUUGUUGGGUAACUUAUUUGUUUUGUAGGCAGUGAUUGUAGGAGGAAUUGACACAAACAAUACAAUUCUUACAUGGACAAUAUCUUUGAUUUUAAGGAAUCCUUUGGUGUUGGAAAACGUAAAAGAUGAACUAGACACUCAUAUUGGAAAAGAGAAAUGCGUAAAUGAGUAUGAUAUAAGUAAGUUAACAUAUCUUCAAGCCAUAGUCAAAGAAACUUUAAGAUUGUAUCCUCCUACUCCUCUUUUUGGACCUCGUGAAUUCACAGAGAAUUGCACUUUAAGAGGCUAUAAUAUAAAAAAGGGAACCCGACUAAUCCCAAAUCUUUGGAAGAUUCACACAGAUAGUAAUGUUUGGGAAGACCCUUUGGAGUUCAAACCAGAAAGGUUUCUUACAACUCGUAAAGAUAUCGACGUCAAAGGUCAUCAUUUUGAACUAUUACCAUUUGGAGGUGGUAGAAGAAUAUGUCCAGCAGUAUCCUUUGGCCUUCAAAUGGUGCAUUUCACUCUUGCUAGGUUUUUGCAUUCCUUUGAAAUUUUAAGUUCAUCACCUGAUCCUAUUGACAUGUCUGAAACAUGUGGAUUAACCAACACUAAAGCCACUCCACUCGAUAUUCUUAUUAAACCACGUCUAUCUCUUAGUUGUUAUGAAAACAACCAUUCCUUGUCUUAGCUACAUGAUUACAUUGUAUUUUUGUUCAAAGUACUUUUUUGUUCCUACUAAAUAGUUCAAAGUAUUAUAGUUCCUCUAUUAUAUAUUUGUAUUUUUGUUCAAAAUUACUUGUAAUAUUGGUAGUUUAUCUUUGUAAAUUUUGUAACUCUUUCAACUAUAUAAUUGAUGAAAGUAUGAUUACAAUUUAUAUUCUCACCAUUUUAACUUUUUUUAUUCCUUCUUUAUUGAUAUUUUCUUUAUAUUUUUCAAGUCACUCUUAUUGUUGUCUUGUUAAAAUUGAAGUUUGUAUUUUUACCUAUUUAUGUUUAAUUCAUUUUCAUGUACUAGAUACUACAAUGAUAAUUUGCUUAUUUGGCUUUAUUUCAAACAUCAAUGUUUAUCGACUCAAGACAUCAUAUAUGUCACUUCAGGGGUGAUCCAACCCAUAUUCAAAAGACUAACACAACCCUACAACACCACAUAUUCCAGACAGUUACACGCUUAACUCGGCCCAACAUCAACCGCAUACAAACUAAAACGAAAAAAGGCAAAUCAGAUGAUCAAGACACCCAUCAGAAUAAGAGAAACAAGCAACGGGAUUUAGAAGUAAUCCAAGACCAAACCUUCAAUUGAGCCAAAGAGAAGAUCUCCGAGUAAUCCAACACUCCACCUUUAAAAAUAAUCUUAUUCCUGUGACACCAAAUCUUACUAACCACCACAAGCCAAAUACUCUUCAGCCCUAAGUUGUCCGACUCAGGAGCAUUACACAACUUGAACUGCUAAAAUUGAGAGGAGUUAAGGGGGACAACUGACGAAAUGCCUAACCACACGUAACAAAGAUUCCAAACCAACCAUACUAUUCUACAGUAAAAAAAAUAGAUGAUUUAACUCCUCCUCUUUUAACCCGCAAAAGCAACAGGGAACGCUUCUGAGCUUUAUCCCUCAUCUAAAUAAAUUAACCUUAGUGGCAAUCUUAUUGUCCAACACUCUCCUAGCGGUAACAUGAGCUGAAGGCAUAGCCUUAAUCCUCCAAAAUAUUUUGAACAUCUUCGUACAAUCCCCCUUAGAAUCCCCUCUUAGAAUCCCAUAAGCCGAUUUCACUGAGAACUCUUGGAACUUACCGUCUUUCCAAACCCACCUAUCAACUUUUUCCAAGAUAGGACACAAGACAUGCACUACCUCUAGAAGUUGUCUAACCUGAUCCUCCUCCCAAUCAAAAAGACUUCUCCACCACGCCCAAAGGCCACUCCUAAACAUUGUUUGUCCAAAACCCACAAUGCUCCAGCAACACAUCUUUAUCGACACAAAGAGAAAAAAGCCUUGGAAACUUAUUCUUCAAGAUAUCAUUACCUACCCACUGAUCCUCCCAUAAUUUGAUACUCUUCCCAAUACCAAGUUCCCACUUAAAUUUGUCAUCGAAAUUACUUUCCCAUUUCUCCAGCUUCCAAAUCUUCUUCAAAUCUUUCCACCAAAAGGAAACAUUAUUGUUUGAGCUGUCCUCUUUCAGCUUUCUCCAGCCUUCAACCUCCUUCCACAAAUCUCCCUCAAAUCCCAACCACCAAAUUCAUUUACCCAACAAAAUCAAUUUAAAAUCCUUAAUAUUAACUACUCCAAACCCGUCGCUUCACUUAAUUUAUUUUCAUUUACUCAAUGCCACGAUCAUAAUUUGGAUACAAUACUGUUCCAAACAUUAAACUCUACUCGUUUACUCAAAACAUUACACAUCUCAACCUUAUAUUGUUGUAUUUUAUCAAUAAUUUAAAUUAUUACCUUAUACAAUUUUUCAAAUUCAUCAACCAAUAAAAAAUAUUGUAUUAUAUUUGGAUCACCUCCUUUAUUAACCAUUCAAAAUUAAAUUAUUUAUUUAAAAAUCUAAUACAAGAAAAUCAUUAAAUAGAAACCAAUUUUAAAAACAAAAAAAUAUAUUGACUAAAUUAGAAAAAAAAUUACAUACUAAAAAUAUUAUUGGUUUCUAAAUUAGUUUCUAUUAUUGAUAAAUAGUUUUUAAAUUGUUAUCUAAUUAGCUACCAAGUUUUUAAGUACCAAUUAUUUAUAUUUUAAAUUUGAUAGUAAACAUCUUGGUAGCUAAUUAAAUAUCAAUUUAAUAAUUAUUUAUCAAUAAUAGAAACUAAUUUAAAAAUCAAUAAUUGUUUUAGUCUCUAAAAUGUUCACUAAUUUAGUCAAUAUAGUAACUAAUUAUUUUUGUCAAAAAAAUUGAUUUCUAUUUAAUAAUUUUUUUUAGUGAUCGUUUAUCGUAUUUAUUUAAAUUUCAUUUCAAUCUUUUUUGAAUGAUCUAUUUAACAGCUGAAACAUUGUAAGUGAUUCUAAUAGUCUCAACCAUAUUCAUAUUAAAUUAUGUUUGUCUCCGAAAGUUAGCCAUUCUUGUAUUCUGUUACCUACACCAACAUGGUGCGUAUUAUUCAAUAAUAAACCAAAUAAUAUAUUUUUAAAAAUUUGGUGCAUAUAAAAGCCGUGUGUUACAAUUUUAUUAGUAUUAUAGACACUCAAGUAUUUUUUUAAAAAAAUUAUUAAUAGAUAUAGACUAUCUAUAUAUUUUUUUUUGUUAAUAUUCAAGGAUGCAGGUAGCUCUAUUAUGUGUCUCAUGCAGUUGUUUUUUUGUGAGGUUUAGGAUAGUGUUAUUUAUCGUAAGCUUUUUUCUGGUUCUGUAUACGGGUUGGGAUACUCUGAAGUAUCUCCUAAUUUAUUUUAAUUUUUUGGUGAUAAAAAAAAUAUGGAUUUUAGUUUAAUUCUUUAUAUUUAAAAAAAAUAUUAAUAGAUAUAAACUAUCUAUAUAUAUUUUUGUUAAUAUAUGAGUUUUAGUCUAAUUCUCUAUAUUUAUUUGUAUUUUAUUUUAUUUUUUUAAUAAUUUUUUUAUUUAAUGACAUAUUAUUGUUAUUAUUUAAAAUAUGAUGAAAUGUCAAGUUUCAUACAUAUGUUAAACAUAAGAUUUUUUUUAAAAAAAAAACUGUUAGUUGUAUGAAUAAAGAAAAUGAAUUCGGUAUGUAUAUUGUUUGAUAGUAAUCUAUGGGAGCCGCAAUAUCAACUAUUAAAAUAUCGUUUUGGUUUGAUUUAAUAUUUCAACAUUUUAAAGUUUUACAUGUAACAUAGUUUAAUCUUUUACUUAUUUUACUGAGUAUUUUCAAGAAAAGAAAUGUAGUUAACAAUAUAUUUUUAGAAAUCAAAUUGAUACAGGUUCAUCUUUCAAGAUCUACUAUAUAUCAAAGAUAAAAUUACUAAAACAAUAUAAAAUAUUCUAUGUUUAUAAUUUUUUAUUAAAAAUAAAUAAAUUUGGAUUUUUUUUUAAAUGUUUACGGUUUACCUGUAAUUUUAUGGAGUGUUUUGUCCAAUUCAAUGAUAAGGAUCUCCUUUAUCCUUUUAUUUAUAGUCACCUUAUUUAUUUCAAACCUUAUCUUCAAAAAUUGAGGACAAAAUUUAGCAGUGCACCUUUAUCUGUACUGUUGAAUUUUUUGGUCAUUGAAGAUAACACAUCAAACUCAACUCCUUCACACAUUGUUGCAUAUGAUUAGAAGCCAAAUUAAUCACGGCUUUGUGUGAAGCUUUUGUUAUUUUCAAUGCGAUCAAACAGAAAAAGACGUGUUCUGAUGGAUUAUUUUAAAUCAACAUUUCGAUAUUUUACAUGGUUAGGGUUCUUAUUAUUUGUAGUCUUGAAUUUUUUUUACGGGGUAGUUCAACCUGUAUACAAAAAUUACCUUACCAAAUUUUUAACAAGAAACAUCUACAAAGAAAUAAAAAAAAAAAAACAUAAAUGAAUCAUCCUCAUGCAUAUCAAAGAAUUCAGAACCCAGUUAGAGUAAGAAAAGAAAGCGCAACUGGACUUUGCAAAAAUUCAAGACCAAACAUUUCUUGCAUCAAAACAAACAUUUCUACCGCAUCUAUCACACCCCUAUUAAAAAUGACGGUCUAUAGUAUAAUUAGAUAGUCUCUUAUGAUCUUAUUUAUUAGGUGUUUAUGUUAGGUUUCAAUACGAUUUUAUUUAUCCAAUUUGAAUAAAUACUAAACCUAUUGCUAUUAAUUUACCAAAUGGUCAUCAAACUAUUGCUUCUCAAACUAGAACUAUGAAAUGCAUAGUUCCAAAAGUCGUGUUCAUGUAGAAACAACAACUCCUUCCAUUUUUUUCCACACCCGUUUAGGAAGGUUUUGGAUUUAUAUGAAAAAGUUUCAAAUAUAUAGCUUUUUUAUUUUGUCUCCAUGGAGAGAAAGUGAGACUCACCACAGCAACGAAUUCUGAAACGUAGUUAUCAAAAAGUUUUCAAUGAACUCAAAACAGGAGCACAAGGUUGCAAGAUUUAGGGUACAUUCAAGAAAGAUUUCCACAUUAUUUAUUAAAAAAAUUAUUGAUUUUUUUAAAAGUUCUUUAAUUUAUUAAAAAGUUUAUUUUAAAUCAUGUUGUAGAUCUCACAUCGACUAAAAAUUAGGACAUUUCAUUAUAUAUAAGUGGGUGUAACCUCACCUCAUAAGCCGAUUUUAAGAGGUUGAGUUAAGCUUAAAGUCCACUUCGUAAUAUGGUAUCAGAGUCAUUUUGAGCUUAUCCUAACUAGUGUUUGUUGGGCUUAUCAGGGCACCCGCUAUCGGACCGUUAUCGGAUCACCCAUAAUAUGUUAUCCCGCACACGACCUGUCACUCUCGGCGUGAGAGAGGUGUGUUGAAGAUUUCACAUCGAUUAGAGAUUAGGAUAUUUCAUUGUAUAUAAAUGGAUGCAAACCUCACCAUGAGCCGGUUUUAUGGAGUUGAGUUAGACUAAAAAUCCACUUCGUAAUAAAUCGAGUUCUCCAUAAGCUACCGAAUUUGGAUUUUGAAUAUAAAAAAAAAUAAUUAGAAUAAAAGGUUUACUUUGACAGAAACUAAUUAUUAAUUAAUGAGUAUAUACUUCAUAUAUUUGUCAUGAGAAGAAACUUAUAUACUAAGCACCUAAUUACUUGACUGAAGGCUAAAGCUAGAAGAUUCAACACAAGACCCCUUAACCUUCCCACUUUUAUAAUUUAAUUAUUAAUAUCAGUUGCAUUCUUAAGCUUGGAGAAGACAACCAAUAUCAAGCUAUUAAGGUCUCUUUUAUGUUCAUAUAUAAUACAAAUUCUGAUUUUGAAAAGUUCUCCAUGUGAGCAAGUGGAGAAGUGUGGCCAAGUUUCUAAGAAGUCUUUAUAAGACUUUCACAUCAUCACUUACAAUAAUCAAAUAACGUAAUAAUUCUCUAUUAUCCAAACCCUUUUCAAUAAAAAAUAUUUAUUUAUCAAUUUAUAUUAAUUAUAAUAUCAUUUUAUAUUAAUUAUAAAAAAAUAUAUUCUUUUAUUACGUGACUACAAUUAAACAAAUUAACAAGAUAAAUAAAAAUCAUGUCAAAAAAUUAAACGAAAAGAAACUAAUUUCUAAAUUUAUAAAUUUUGAAUAUUCAAUAAAUAAUUAAUAGAAAUAAUUAAAAAUAUUCAAAUUUCUAAAAUACUUAAAAGAUAAUUACAUUUAUUUGAAAAAUUCUUCCUCUCUCAGUACACGUGUUUUGAAAAAAAUCCAACUUAUUUUAGUUUCUUGUAUAAACUUAUCUGGCAUCUUUGGUUGAGUUCACGACAUCCAUUAACUUUUCACAUCAAACAAAAAGAUUUAUGGAAAAGAUUUUUUGAGACCAUAUGCACUGAAAACAUGAACUUCACAUCAUAUUAUAAUAAUACAAUAAUAUUUUAAAUUAAAAAAUAAAAUAAAAUAUAAUUAGAAUACUAUUUUAUUAAUUUAUGAAGUAUAUAUAUUUAAUAUUAUUUGUUGUACCACCCAUAAUCUAUUUAAGAAUACCACUAGCAUUGGACUUGACAAAGCUCAAAUGGAUUUUGUUCUACACUACUUGAAUACCACUACCAUUGCACUUCUUUCUCUAAUCAUCUUCUGUUUAUUCUUCUAUAAUCCCUUCAAAAAAUUUCAAUCCAAAGAGGCUCCCACAGUUGCAGGAGCAUGGCCAAUACUUGGUCACCUUCCACUGUUGAGUGGUUCAAAGACACCCCAUAGAACUUUGGGUGCUUUGGCUGACAAAUAUGGACCCAUUUUCACCAUCAAAAUUGGUUCCAAAAAGGCUCUGAUAAUCAACAACUGGGAAAUAGCAAAGGAAUGCUUCACCACAAUCGACAUGGUUGUUUCUUCUCGCCCCAAGCUUCUCGCCUCUGAACUCAUGGGCUACAACCAUGCCAUGUUUGGCUUUGCACCCUAUGGUCCCUAUUGGCGCGAGCUACGAAAGAUUACAACGUUAGAAAUCCUUACUACUCGUCGAGUGGAACAGCUGCAGCAUGUUCGUGUCUCGGAACUUCAAAACUGGAUCAAACAGUUGUAUAAUGUUUGGUGCAGCCAAAAGAGUGAAUCUGGCUAUGCCUUGGUGGAGCUGAAGCAAUGGUUUUCUCACCUCUCAUUCAACAUGGUUCUUCAAAUGGUCGUUGGGAAGAGAUAUUUUGGUGGUGAAAACUUGGAAGAUGAGAAGGCACAGAGAUGUGUGAGGGCUAUGAGGGAGUUCAUGCGUCUGUUUGGGGUGUUCACAGUGGGAGAGUUUGUUCCAUGGUUGAGAUGGUUUGAUUUUGGAGGCCAUGAGAAGGCAAUGAAAGCAACUGCAAAAGAGUUGGAUAGUAUUAUAGGUGAGGAGUUAGAGGAACAUAGAAAAAGGAAGGGUUUGGGUGAGAAGGUUGAUGAAGCUAAAGAUUUCAUGGAUGUAAUGAUUUCAUUGCUUGAUGGAACAACUAUUGAAGGGAUCGAUGCAGAUACCAUGAUCAAAUCCACCGUGCUGGUACGUAUGUUUAAUUCACACGUUAUAAUGCUUUGGAAAUGUGAAACUUCAACAAAACUAAACAUAUAAAUACAACAUAAUUCUUCAUUAAAUUUGGUAUUUAGUGUUGAAACACUUGUUGUAGGGGAGAUGAGGAUUAUGGGUAGAAUUAUAUAUAUGGAUGAGGUCUAUGACUGUCUUAUUAUGUUCUAUAGACUCUAUAGGGAGUGGGAACCUUUUGAAUUUUUAUUGGUAUUCUUAAUGUAUUCCUUUUAAUUCAUUUUAUUCAUCAUUGAUAAAAUAAAUUAAAUUUGAAAUAUUUCCUCAGAAACUUACCUUAAAAACAUUACAAAACCCUAAACCAACUUCUCUUACAGAAGUACAGUUUUUUUUUUUUUGGCACAAGAAGUCUAAUUUCUUUCACUUAUUCUUUACACAAGUGUGUUUUAUCGUCUUUACCGUUUAUAUGGGGUUCAUUUGAUAGACAUGAGUGUUUUUUUGGGAGAGUGAGGGAUAUAGUGAUGUUGUGAUUGGGAGAGAAAGGGACAUUUGUGGUGUUGCGUGAAUGAAAAUCCAUGGACCACUUACAAUUUUUUUUUCUGUUUUUCUACUUUGAUUUGGUUUUUGUGAAAAAUAAUGAAAUUUUGAAAAAAAAAACUUGUAAGUUAUACAUCAUUAGUUUAGAAAUUGUUUACUUUUUCGAUGGUGGAAAUUUAUAAUGAUUAUAGAACUCAAGCAAGUAAUCCCUAGAAAAUAAAUUAAAUUAAAUAACUUUUUCUUGUAAAUUAAAAUUAAUUUUAACCUAAAUUGUUUUUAAUAAUACGUUUUCUGAACCUGAUCUUAAUUUUCUUCACUUAAAUAUUUCUCUUGGGUCACUUAUUUGAUUUGCAGGCAGUGAUAUCAGGAGGAACUGACACAACUAAUACAGUUCUUACGUGGGCAUUAUCUUUGAUUUUAAGAAAUCCUUCUGUGCUAGAAAAAGUAAAAGAGGAACUAGACAUUCAUAUUGGAAAAGAAAAAUGCGUAAGUGAGUCCGAUAUAAGUAAGUUAAUAUAUGUUCAAGCUAUAGUCAAAGAAACUUUAAGAUUGUAUCCUCCUGCUCCUACUUCGGGACCUCGUGAAUUCACAGAGAAUUGCACUUUAAGAGGUUAUAAUAUAAAAAAGGGAACCCGACUAAUCAUAAAUCUUUGGAAGAUUCAUACAGAUAGUAAUGUUUGGGAAGAUCCUUUAGAGUUCAAACCAGAAAGGUUUCUUACAACUCAUAAAGAUACUGACAUCAAAGGCCAUCAUUUCGAGUUAUUACCAUUUGGGGGUGGUAGAAGAAUUUGUCCAGGAGUAUCCUUUGGCCUUCAAAUGGUGCAUUUCAUUCUUGCUAGUCUUUUGCAUUCUUUUGAAAUUAUAAGUUCAUCACCAAAUCCUAUUGAUAUGACUGAAAUCUUUGGAUUAACCAACACCAAAGCCACUCCACUUAAUAUUCUUAUUAAACCACGCCUAUCUCUUAAUUGUUAUGAAAACAACUAAGCCUUUUAUUAGCUACGUGAUUACAUUGUAUUUUUGUUUCUACUAAAUAAUUCAAAGUACUUGCUAUGUUUGUAGUUCCUCAAAUUGUAUAUUUGUAUUUUCGUUUAUCAGUACUUGUAACAUUUGUAGUUUACUUUUGUAAAUUUUGUAACUCUUUUAAAUAUAUAAUUGAUAAAAGUAUAAUUACAGCGUAUAUUCUCACCAUUUUAACUUUUUUAUUCUUUAUUGAUUUUUUUUUUCUUAUCAUUCUUAUUGUUGCGUUGUUAAAAUUUAAGUUUGUAUUUUUGACUAUUUUUGUUUAGUUCAUUUUCAUAUACUAGAAAUAACGAUGAUAAUUUGCUUAUUUUCUUUUUUUCAAACAUCAAUGUUUAUCGACUCAAGAAAUCAUAUAUACCAAAUUUAUAUUAUUUUAGUUUUGAACAAAUCAACUUACUAUCUACUUAAUUUUUCAAUUUUUUCAACCAAUCAAAUUAGUUCAUCUUCAACUUAAUUAAUCCUACCUCGUUAUCAAUAUCUAAAAAUAAGAAUUUUCAUCAUCUUAAUAUCAAAUAAAAUUUGUUAACAUUUUUAGUUUUUUUUUUAAAGUUAUUGAGCUUUGUUUGUUUGGCCCAACUUUCUUUUUCUGUUUCAACUAGAUCUUAGUCUUUUUCUUAUAUAUACACAAUGUAUUUUACUCUCUAAUACACACAUAAAUAAGAAUUUCUUUUGUAUUUUUUUUCUCUGCGUUUCUCUCUUUUAUGCUUAAGUCGUUGUCUUCUUUUCAUUUGCAAUUAGGGUUCAUUAGAACCUCCCUCUCUCCAUUGCGAUUACGUGCGCUCCAUUUGAUGCACCACAUCAAACAAGGAAUAUUCAUCUUCAUUAACUGUAAUAUGGUAUCAGAGCUCUUCAUUCGAAGAGCUCUGUUGCGCUUCUCUAUGAUCUUUAUUUCCUCCUUUGUUGUUCUUGGUUAUCUUUUCUAUUAUCUUUCAAAAUCUUGAUUGGGUUUCAAAAUCUCUUAGACAAUGUCUAAUGAAAACCAUAGUCUUCAUAGUCUUAAUAGUAGUCACACUAUUACAUGCAAUUUUUGUGGUAAAUACGGUCAUACUGAGGUUGUUUGUUUCGCAAAGUGGGUUUUCCUUCAGGUAAUGUUAAAACCUCAAAGUUUUAUUCUACUAGAAAAGUCUACACUUUUUGUAAUCGUCUAAAAAAGUAUGGGUUUUCUCCUGGCUACAAAUUCACCAAUUGGACAUCCCAAGGCAAUAGUACAAUUACUACUGAUACUUUUUUUGAACUUUUUCCUAAAGAACAGGAUGUAAAGGGAAUUCAACUUACAUCACAAUAGUGCCAAUUAGAUAUCAAUUUAAUAACUAUUUAUCAUUAAUAGAAACUAAUUUAGAAAUUAAUAAUUUUUUAAUAUCUAAAAUGGUCUCUAAUUUAAUCAAUAUAGUAACUAAUUAUUUUUUGUCUCUAAAAUUAGUUUUUAAUUAAAUAUUAUUUUUAGUGCUUGUUUAUCGCAUUUAAAUUUCAUUUCAAUUACUCAAUAAUAAACCAAAUAAUAUAUUUUUAUAAAUUUGGUGAAUAUAAAAGUUAUGUGUUACAAUUUUAUUGGUAUAAUAGACUUUUAUCUAGUCUUUUCUUAAAACUUUUUAUUAAUAGAUAUAUACUAUAUAUGUAUAUUUUUGUUAAUAUAUGGAUUUUAAUCUAAUUUCCUAUAUUUACUUGUAUUUCAUUUUUUUUAAUAAUAUAUUUUUUAUGUAGUGAUAGAUUAUUGUUAUUAUUUGAAGUGUGAUGUGAAGUUCCAAUGUCUGAUAUGAGAUUUUUUUAUUUUUUAUUUUAAUUUUUGUGUUAGUUUAAUGAAUAAAAAAAAUGAAUUCGGUAUGUAUAUUGUUUGAUAGUAAUAUAUGGUAGCCGCAAUAUUAACUAUUAAAAUAUCAUUUUGGUUUGAUUUAAUAUUUCAACAUUAUUAAAGUUUUACAUGUAAGAUAUUUUAAUCAUUUACUUAUUUUAAUGAUAUUUUCAAGAAAAAAAAUGUAGUUGACAAUAUAUUUUUAGAAAUCAAAUUGAUACAGGUUCAUCUUUCAAGAUCUACUAUAUAUCAAAGAUAAAAUUACUAAAAGAAUAUAAAAUAUCCUAUGUUUAUAAUUCUUUUAUUAAAAAUAAAUAAAUUUGGAUUUUUUUUAAAUGUUUACGGUUUACCUGUGAUUUUAUAGAGUAUUUUGUCCAAUUCAAUGAUAAGGAUUUUUUUUUAUGAUCAAAGAAUAAAUAAAAUAAAAUGAGACAUUUCAUGAGUGUUUCAACCCUUAUACAAAACAUUCAAAACAGGUUUCCUAGCAUCCUAUCAACCAAAGAUCCAACAAACAUUACACUACAAACCAAAACAAUAAACUAGUUCAAGAUAUAGAAACCUAACAAAUACAGUUACAUCAAUCCACCAAAGAGAUCACACCAACUAAACAAGAUCUUUGUCAGCAGGCUGAAGUGCCAUAACCAAGUGUCGAACUCAAUAAAACCGAUCCUACAAGAAGAAAAUGUAAACCAAAAUUAGUUCACCAAAGAGAUCACACCCUUAGUAUAGGACACAACAUCCAACACCUAAACAAUAACUUUGCAAUAGACUGAAGUACGCCAAAUAAUCAAUUGUCAACAUCAACAAACCGAUCCUACGAGGAGGAUAAAUAAACUAGAGAUAUCCUGCAAAAAGCACACAACAACUUCCCAAACUGGAUAGAUCAGUAACCAAAAACACCACAUAUCAAUCUCCCAAAGCUCAAACACCAUAAAGAUUCAAACACCAAACCGAGAAGCAUACAUCAAAAACACUUCCUUUACCGCAGCAAUCCAGGAACAAAAUCAUCAACCUGACCCUGCCAAGUAGAAAAGACCAAAAAAACCUGCACAAACACAUUAUAUCUUUCAAACCUGCAGGAAGAAAUCAUAAGCCAAAUAGACAUGCACACAACACAAACACCUCCCAAACGCAACUCAAGGACACACACCCCAAUCCAACCUUACCAGAUGGGAGGACCUGAUGAAACCUGCAGAAAACACACCACUACUUCCGAUUCCGAUUCCGAUUCCGAUUCCGAUUCCGAUUCCGUUUAUGAGGAAAAGCAUUUAUCUAAAUUGAGGACAAAAUUUAACAUUGCACUUUAAUCUGUAUUGUUUAAUUUUUUGGUCAUAGAAGAUAACAAAUCAAACUCACCUCCUUCACACAUCGUUGCAUAUGACUAGAAGCCAAAUUAAUCACGGCUUUGGGUGAAGCUUUUAUUAUUUUCAAUGCGAUCAAACAGAAAAAGACGUGUUCCAAUGGAUUAUUUUAAAUAAACAUUUCGAUAUUUUACCAAAUCUAGAUGGUUAGUUUUCUUGUUAUUUGUAGACGGUUUAUCUUAGUGUUUUUAUUUGUAGAUAUGGUUAGAUGCUUUGUAAUUCAUCUUUAAAUCUUAUCAAUAACUUUUUUUUUUUAGCUUUUAUUUAUGAAAAAAAUCUUCGAUUUUCUUUUGCUUUUGUGACAUAGUAAAACAAAAACAUCUAUAAAUGUGUGAAACCAUGGGCAUAGUUCCAAAAGUGGUGUUCUUGAACAAACAGCAACUCCUUCCAUUUUUUUCCACACCCGUUCAGGACAGUUUUGGAUUUACGUGAAAAAGUUUUAAAUAUAUUUUUAUUUUGUCUCCAUAGAGUUAGAAAGUGAGACUCACGACAGCAACAAAUUCUGAAACGUAGUUUUCAACGAACUCAUAACAGGACCACUAGGUUGCGUGAUUUAGGGUACAUUCAAGAAACAUUUCCACAUCAAUUAUUUAAAAACUUAUUAAUUUUUCUAAUUAAGCUCUUUAAUUUAUUAAAAACUUUAUAUUAAUCAGUUCCUCGUAUAAGCUACGAUUUUUUUUUUCUAUUGUUAUGCAUAAAGAUUGGAUCACUCGUGAAUGAUAAAAAAAUUAAAAAAUUCAGAUUUUGAAUAUAAAAAAAAGUUAAUUAGAAUAAAAUAUUUUACUUUGACAGAAACUAAUUAUUAAUUAAUGAGUAUAUAUUUGUUAAUGAAGUAGUUUACUUUAUAUAUUUGUUAAUUACUUGAAGUAAGAAAAACAGUCUUUAUUAUAUAAAAAAAAGUUAAACUUCUUUUAAAAGUGAGAGAUAAGUUUGAGUGAUUUGAAAUGUUUUAUUAAGUAAACUCCACAUAACCCAAUAACCUAUGAAUUUGAAGUAAUUAAAAAUAUUCACGUUUAGUUCUAAUAAUUGUUUUUAUCAUGAGAAGAAACUUGAUAUACUAAGCACCUAAUUACUUGAGUGAAGGCUAACUCUAGAAGAUUCAACACAAGACCCCUUAACCUUCCCACAUUUAUAAUUCAAUUAAUAUCAAGCUAUUAAGGUUAAUCUCUUUUAUGUUCAUAUAUAAUACAAAUUCUUUUUUCAAUAUUACUUCAGGAAUAUUCAACUAUCUUGCAUACCCUUUUUUCUGUAUAGUGGAAAUUUUUGACUGUUUUUUUUCUGACAUUGAAAGAUUCUACAUGUGAUCAGCAAGUGGAGAAGUGUUACCAAGUUGCUCAAAAGCCUUUAUAAGACUUCCACAUCACUUACAAUAACCAACCAAGAUAUAGGUAAUAUUUCCUUAUUAUUUAUCGAUUUACAUUAAUUAUAAUACAAUUUUAUAUUAAUUAUAAAAAAAUUAUAUUUUUUAAUAAGUGAAUAAAAUUAAACAAAGUGACAAGAUAAAUCUAAUCAUGUCAAAAAAUUAAACGAAAAAGAAAACCAAGUUAAAAAUUUAUAAAUUUUGAAUAUUCAAUAAAAAAUUAAAAGUAUUGAAAUUUAUAACAUACUUAAAGAUAAUUACAUUUAUUUCAAAAGUUCUUCUUCUCAGUACACGUGUUUGAAAAAAAUCUUUGACUUCUCCGACAUCUUUGACUGAGUUCAUCACAUAUCCAUUAGACAGAGUUCUUAUGCCACAAGAGUGGAUGAAUUAAUCUUUAUUAAAUAUUUUAAUAAUUUUAUUAGUUAAUCUAAUAAUAAAAUUAGUAAUUUAAUUUACUUUGAAUUUUUUUAACAUAUAUUUAAAUUACUAAUAUCAAUUAAUAAUAUUAACCACACGUUUAAAUCAACAAUUUCACUUUAUAAUUUAUUGUACAAAAAAUUUUAGCUAACAUUUUAAAUUUCAUAUUAAAACUAUUAUAAAGUAUGAUUUAAAUUAGUAAUCAUUCACAAAUUUACAAUUCACUGCAUAAUAAUUUAAAGUUUUAACAUUUUAAAACUUAAGCUUAUAUGUUUUAAAUAUUUUUAUGUUAGCAUAAUUUGAAAAUAAUUAUUCAUUAGUAUUAUUGCUGAGAGUUACAUUUUACAAUACUUUUAAUAACAUUAAAAAGUUAAAAAUAGAUAUAAUUAAUCAUCUUUUGGUCAACGUCCAAAUUUGAGUUAAGAGAAUAUUAUAAAAUGAUUUUUCGAACAAGUGUAUUAAGUCUAAAAUAUUAUAAAAUGAUUUUUCGAACAAGUUAAAGGAGUAAUGUAAGUUAAACAGAUAAUUAAGUCUAAAACAUUAGAAAUAUUAAAUUUAUAAAAUAGCUAAAGAUAAUUAUUUUUAAUUUAUAAUUAUAUAAUUACUUAGUCUUUUGAAAAGUUGUCUUUCCCUCUGAAGCAAUGAAUGAUCUAUUUAACAACUCCUACCUCCAAACAGUAGAUACACUAAACUCCUUCAAAUGGAUUUUGUUCUAAGUUACCUGAAUACCACCACCAUUGGACUUGUUUCUCUUAUCAUCUUCUCUUUCUUUUUCUAUGGUCUCUUCAAAUUUUCUCAAGGGAAAGAAGCUCCCACAGUUGCAGGUGCAUGGCCAAUACUUGGUCACCUUCCAUUGUUGAGUGGUUCAAAGUCACCCCACAGAACUCUGGGUGCUUUGGCUGAAAAAUAUGGACCCAUUUUCACCAUCCAACUUGGUUCCAAAAAGGCUCUGAUAAUCAACAACUGGGAAAUAGCAAAGGAAUGCUUCACCACAAUCGACAUGGUUGUUUCUUCUCGCCCCAAGAUUCUCGCCUCUGAACUCAUGGGCUACAACCAUGCCAUGUUUGGCUUUGCACCUUAUGGUCCCUAUUGGCGCGAGAUACGAAAGAUUACAACGUUAGAAAUCCUUACUACUCGUCGAGUGGAACAGCUGCAGCAUGUUCGUGUCUCAGAACUUCAAAACUGGAUCAAACAGUUGUAUAAUGUUUGGUGCAGCCAGAAGAGUGAGUCUGGCUAUGCCUUGGUGGAGCUGAAGCAAUGGUUUUCUCACCUCGCAUUCAACAUGGUUCUUCGAAUGGUCGUUGGGAAGAGAUAUUUUGGUGGUGAAAACUUGCAAGAUGAGAAGGCACAGAGAUGUGUGAGGGCUGUGGAGGAGUUCAUGCGUCUGUUUGGGGUGUUCACAGUGGGAGAGUUUGUUCCAUGGUUGAGAUGGUUUGAUUUUGGAGGCCAUGAGAAGGCAAUGAAAGCAACUGCAAAAGAGUUGGAUAGUAUUAUAGGUGAGGAGUUAGAGGAACAUAGAAAAAGGAAGGGUUUGGGUGAGAAGGUUGAUGAAGCUCAAGAUUUCAUGGAUGUAAUGAUUUCAUUGCUUGAUGGAACAACUAUUGAAGGGAUCGAUGCAGAUACCAUGAUCAAAUCCACCGUACUGGUACGUAUGUUUAAUUUAUACGUUAUAAUGCUUUCAAAAUGUGAAACUUCAACAAAAACUAAACAAAACUAAACAUAUAAAUACAACAUAGUUCUUAAUUAAAUUUGGUAUUUAGUAUUGUGGUUGGUCUGGUUUUAUAACAAUGUUUAGUGGAGAUGAGGAUUAUGGGUAGAAUUAUAUGCAUGAGGUCUAGAAUUCUCUUGUUAUCUUCUAAGCUUAUAGGGAGUGUGAACCUCUUUACUUUUUAUACGGAUUAGGAUAUCCUUAAACCUUAAAGUAUGUUUUUUAAUUCAUUUUAUUUAUCAUCAUAAAAAAAAUUAAAUUUGAAUUAUUUUCUCAGAAACUGACCUUAAAAACAUUAUAAAAUACCAACUUCUCUAGCAGAAGUACAGUUUCUUUUUCUGGCACAAGAAGUCUAUUUUCUUUCACUUAUUCUUCACGCAAGUGUGUUUUAUCGUCUCUACCGUUUAUAUGGGGUUCGUUUGAUAGAGGGGAGAGAUAUGAGUGUUUUUCGGGAGAGUGAGGGAUAUAGUGAAGUUGUGAUUGAGGGAGAAAGGGACAUUUGUAGUGUUGUAUGAAUGAAAAUCAAUGGACCACUUACAAUUUUUUCUUCUUUUUCUACUUUGAUUUGGUUUUUGUGAAAAAUAAUGAAAUUUUGAAAAAAAAACUUGUAAAUUAUACAUCAUCAGUUUAGAAAUUGUUUACUUUUUCGAAGGUGGAAAUAUGCAAUGAUUAUAGAACUCAUGCAAGUAGUCCCUAGAAAAUAAAUAAAAUUAAAUAACUUUUUCUUGUAAAUUAAAAUUAACUUUAAACUAAGUUAUUUUUUAGUAAUAAGUUUUCCAAACAUAAUCUUAAUUUUCUUUACUUAAAUAUUUUUGUUGGGUGACUUAUUUGAUUUGCAGGCAGUGGUAUCAGGAGGAACUGACACAAGUAAUACAGUUCUUACGUGGGCAAUAUCUUUGAUUUUAAGAAAUCCUUCGGUGUUAGAAAAAGUAAAAGAGGAACUAGACAUUCAUAUUGGGAAAGAAAAAUGCGUAAGUGAGUCUGAUAUAAGUAAGUUAACAUAUGUUCAAGCUAUAGUCAAAGAAAGUUUAAGAUUGUAUCCUCCUGGUCCUCUUUCGGGACCUCGUGAAUUCACAGAGAAUUGCACUUUAAGAGGCUAUAAUAUAAAAAAGGGAACCCGACUAAUCACAAAUCUUUGGAAGAUUCAUACAGAUAGUAAUGUUUGGGAAGAUCCUUUGGAGUUUAAACCAGAAAGGUUUCUUACAACUCAUAAAGAUAUUGACAUCAAAGGCCAUCAUUUCGAGUUAUUACCAUUUGGAGGUGGCAGAAGAAUGUGUCCCGGAGCAUCCUUUGGCCUUCAAAUGGUGCAUUUCAUUCUUGCUAGUUUUUUGCAUUCUUUUGAAAUUAUAAGUUCAUCACCUGAUCCUAUUGAUAUGAUUGAAACCUUUGGAUUAACCAACACCAAAGCCACUCCACUUGAUAUUCUUAUUAAACCACGUCUAUCUCUUAAUUGUUAUGAAAACAAUUAAUCCAUGUGCUAGCUACGUGAUUACCUUGUAUUUUUGUUCCAAGUACUUUUUUGUUCCUACUAAAUAGUUUAAAGUACUUGUUAUGUUUGUAGUUCCUCAGAUAAAUUAUUUUAUAUUUUCGUUUUAAAGUACUUCUAAUAUUUGUUUUUUUUAUUAGUAAAGAAUAAAAUAAAUUAUUGUAAUACUUGUAAUAUUUGUAUUAUACUUUUGUAAAUUUUGUAACUCUUUCAAAUAUAUAAUUGAUAAAAGUAUAAUUAUAAUGUAUGUUGUAAUCUGUUUGCUCUGUUUCUUUGAAGUUGGAACUUGUAUAAAGGUUGAAACACUCUUAAAGUAUUUCCUUUAUUUAAUUCAUUCAUUGUUGAUAAAAAACAAUCUGAAAAAAAAUUCAAGUAGUUGACAGCUGCAACAAUCUCAAAGCUCCCAAAGCCCAUCUUGUAUGAUUUAAUCCUGUAAUGAAAAAAAUGGGCAUUUUCUUCCUGCACCCCUACAUUUUUCUUCCUGCACACCCACAAAUUUGUAAAUUUCGAAACUGACCUCCACAAUUUCAGGAUCUAAGAGUGUGUUACGGCUUCAUCAAUCCAAAAGUGAAUCAUGUUGCAUUCUGGAUGAGGGGGUAUUCCGGAAGCCUAAUUUCUAUUACGGAUUGGUGGAUCCGGAAUGAUUUUUUUCAAUUAUUGAUUUCUGAAUCCAGAAUGCAUAUUUUGAAUUACGGAUUGGCGGAUCAGGAAUGGUUUUUUCAAUUAUGGAUGUUUUGCAUUUUUUUUAUUUUGGAUUAACAUUAUCAUUCAUGUACUACUAGAAGCACCAAUCCGGGAGAUUACCGGAAGCGCCAAUCCAAAAAUUUACUGGAAGGGCCAAUCCGAAAAUUUACCAGAUUUCAUAAUCUGGAAUACAAAUUUUUUUAUAAAUGUACAGUUUAUAUAGGGACAGUUUUGUCUUUGCGCAACUUUGUGGGGGUGCAGGAAGAAAAAUGUCGGGCUGCAGGAAGAAACUGCCAAAAAAAUGAAAAAAAAUUGCAGCCUCAUCUUGUAUGGGGUUGUUUCUUCCUGCACCUCCAUAUAUUCUUCUCCCACCUCUAUAAAUUUUCAUAUUUCCAAAAAUACUCCUCUCUCCCACCUUCAUAUAUUCUUCUCUCACCUCCAUAAAUUUUCAUAUUUCCAAAAAUACUCUUAUGUAAUAUUCUGGAUUAUUUAAUCCAGAAGUCUUUUUUCAAAUUUGUAAUUAGCUUCCGGAUUACAUAAUCCAGAAGCCUUUUUUCAGGUGCAUGAUUAGUUUCCAGAUUAUAUAAUUUGAAAGUUUUUUUUAGCUUACAGAUUACAUAAUCCGGAAGUCUGUUUUCAAGCUACUCUAAGAUAAUGAAACAAGAAGGAAGCUACUCUAAAGAGAUGACACAAGAAGGCUAAAAAGUAUUUUCAUCAAGAGGUGUAGGAAGAAACAGUCCUUGUAUGAUUCAAUCCCAGUGUUAAAGCUCAGCGAAGUUUCUCAAAAGCCUUUGCACAUUAUCCUUACAAUAACCAAGAUAAUUCUUUAUUAUCCCAUCCCUUUUUAAUAAAAAAUAUUUAUUUAUCGAUUUAUAUUAAUUAUAAUAUCGUUUACAUUAAUUAAAAAAUAUAUUGUUUUAAUACAUUAAGAUAAUUAAAUAAAAUGACAAGAUAAAUAAAAAUCAUGUCAAAAAAUUAAACAAAAAAAAAUACUAAGUUAAAAAUUUAAAAAUUUCGAAUAUUCAAUAAUUUUUUUUAUUAAAAGUAAUUAAAUAUAUUCAAAUUUAUAAAAUACUUAAAAGAUAAGUACAAUUAUUUGAAAAGUUUUAGUCACGUGUGUUUUGAAAAAAAAUCCAACUUUUUUAGUUUCUUAUAUAAACUUGAGUUGGAAAAGAAUAGUUUGACAAAAAUGUACCUCUUCACCAAGCCAUCAACUUGGCUUUGAAUGAUCUAUUUAAGAAUACCACUACCAUUGAUUGUACUCAACAAAGCUCAAAUGGAUUUUGUUCUAAACUACUUGAAUACCACUGCCAUUGCAAUUCUUUCUCUAAUCCUCUUCUGUUUAUUCUUCUACAAUCCCUUCAAUCUUUUUCAAACCAAAGAGGCUCCCACUGUUGCAGGAGCAUGGCCAAUACUUGGUCACCUUCCACUUCUGACUGGUUCAAAGAGACCCCAUAGAACUUUGGGUGCUUUGGCUGACAAAUAUGGACCCAUUUUCACCAUCCAACUUGGUUCCAAAAGGGCCUUGGUAAUCAACAACUGGGAAACGGCAAAGGAAUGUUUCACCACAAACGACAUGGCCGUUUCCUCUCGCCCCAAGCUCGUCGCCGCUGAACUCAUGGGCUACAACCAUGCCAUGUUGGUCUUUGCACCCUAUGGUCCCUAUUGGCGCGAGCUACGAAAGAUUUUAACUUUAGAAAUCCUUACUACUCGUCGAGUGGAACAGCUGCAGCAUGUUCGUGUCUCAGAACUUCAAAACUGGAUCAAACAGUUGUAUAAUGUUUGGUGUAGCCAAAAGAGUGAGUCUGGCUAUGCCUUGGUGGAGCUGCAGCAAUGGUUUUCUGACCUCUCAUUCAACAUGGUUCUUCGAAUGGUCGUUGGGAAGAGAUAUUUUGGUGGUGAAAACUUGCAAGAUGAGAAGACAAAGAGAUGUGUGAAGGCUGUGGAGGAGUUCAUGCGUCUGUUGGGGGUGUUCGCAGUGGGAGAUGCUGUUCCAUGGUUGAGAUGGUUUGAUUUUGGAGGCCAUGAGAAGGCAAUGAAAAAAACUGCGAAAGAUUUGGAUAGUAUUAUAAGCGAGGAGUUAGAGGAACAUAGAAAAAGGAAGGGUUUGGGUGAGAAGGUUGAUGAAGCUAAAGAUUUCAUGGAUGUAAUGAUUUCAUUGCUUGAUGGAAGAACUAUUGAAGGGAUCGAUGCAGAUACCAUGAUCAAAUCCACCGUACUGGUACGUAUGUUUAAUUUACACGUUAUAAUGCUUUGGAAAUGUGAAACUUUAAGAGAAUUAAACAAAUAAAUACAACAUAGUUCUUAAUUAAAUGUGAAAUAUUUUCUCAGGAACUUACCUUAGUUGUGAAUAUAUAUAUUCUACUUCGUCGGUUUAGAAUCAGUUGUAUGAAAAUAUAAGGUAUAACACUUUCGUCUUAAUGAUGUAAAAGCAUUACAAAAUUCUUCACACAAGUGUGUUUUAUCGUCUUUACCGUUUAUAUGGGGUUCAUUUGAUAGACAUGAGUGUUUUUUGGGAGAGUGAGGGAUAUAGUGAUGUUGUGAUUGGGAGAGAAAGGGACAUUUGUGGUGUUGGGUGAAUGAAAAUGAAUGGACAACUUACAAGGUGUUUCAACUUUUUUUUAUAUCUCCUAGUUAAUUAUUCCAAAAGCUACAAAACAACUACCAAAUUUUCCACUCAAAUUUGGUUUUUGUGAAAAAUAAUGAAAUUUUGAGAUUUUUUUUUUAAUUGUACAUCAUCAGUUUAGAACUUGUUUAAUUUUUCCAUGGAGGAAAUGUAAAUUAUUAUAGAACUCAUGAAGUAUUCCGUAGAAAAUAAAUAAAAUUAAAUUUUUUUCUUGUAAAUUAAAAUUAAGUAUAACCUAAGUUAUUUUUAGUAAAAAGUUUUUCAAAUAUAAUCUUAAUUCACUAUAACAAAAUUAUUAAAUAAAAACUAAUUUUAGGAACCAAAAUAAUUAGUUAUUAUUUGUUUAAAUUAGAGAUCAUUUUAUAAAUUAAAAAAAUUAUUGGUAUGGAAAGUAGUUUUUAUUAUUAAUAAAAAUUUAUAAAAUAGAUUUUUAAAUUGGUAUAUAACCAUUAACUACCAAGAUUUUAACUACUUACUACUUUAUAUUCUAAAUCGGUCUCUAUUAGUCUUUUAUAGACUAAUUUAAAAUAUAAAAUAUUAGUAACUAAAAUCUAGAUAAUUAAUUUAGAUACCAAUUUAGAAAAUAUUUUAUAAAUUUUUAUUAAUAAUAGAAAUUAUCUUAGAUACCAAUAAUUUCUUAAUCUCUAAAUAAGUAUCUAAUUUAGUCAAUAUAGUGACUAAUUAUUUUUUAUGUUUAAAUUGGGUUGCUUUUAAUGAUUUUUUUUCUAGUGAUUUUCUUCACUUAAAUAUUUUUGUUGGGUAACUAUUUUGUUUUGCAGAAUGUGAUUGCAGGAGGAACUGACACAAACAAUACAGUUCUUACAUGGACAAUAUCUUUGAUUUUAAGAAAUCCUUUGGUGUUGGAAAAAGUAAAAGAUGAACUCGACACUCAUAUUGGAAAAGAGAAAUGCGUAAAUGAAUCUGAUAUAAGUAAGUUAACAUAUCUUCAAGCCAUAGUCAAAGAAACUUUAAGAUUGUAUCCUCCUGGUCCUCUUUCGGCACCUCGUGAAUUCACAGAGAAUUGCAUUUUAAGAGACUAUAAUAUAAAAAAGGGAACCCGACUAAUCACAAAUCUUUGGAAGAUUCACACAGAUAGUAAUGUUUGGGAAGACCCUUUGGAGUUCAAACCAGAAAGAUUUCUUUCAAAUCAUAAAUAUAUUGAUGUCAAAGGUCAUCAUUUUGAGCUAUUACCAUUUGGAAGUGGUAGAAGAAUAUGUCCAGCAAUAUCUUUUGGCCUUCAAAUGGUGCAUUUCACUCUUGCUAGGUUUUUGCAUUCUUUUGAAAUUGUAAGUCCAUCACCUGAUCCUAUAGACAUGACUGAAACAUUUGGAUUAACCAACACUAAAGCCACUCCACUUGAUAUUCUUAUUAAACCACGUCUAUCUCUUAGUUGUUAUGAAAACAACCAUUCCUUGUCUUAGCUACGUGAUUACAUUGUAUUUUUGUUCAAAGUACUUUUUUGUUCAUACUAAAUAGUUCAAAGUAUUGUAGUUCCUCUAUUAUAUAUUUGUAUUUUUGUUCAAAAGUACUUGUAAUAUUUGUAGUAUUAAACAUAUAAAUACAACAUAGUUCUUAAUUAAAUCUGAAAUGUUUUCUCAGGAACUUAACUUAGAUAUGAAGAUAUGUAUUUUACUUCAUCGGUUUAAAAUCAAUUGUAUGAAAAUAUAAGGUUUAACACUUUCGUUAAUGAUGUAAAAACAUUACAAAAAAUUUCAUGCAAGUGUAACACUUUCGUUUAUAUGGGAUUUGUUUGAUACAGGGGAGAGAUAUAAGUGUUCUUUUAGAGAGUGAGUAGUGACGUUGUGAUUGUUACAUAAUCUUAACAAACUAUUUAUUGUUUUCAAAGACUGGUCAAAGCAUUUAAAACUAGAGCGUAUUCAGUUAUAAAAUCAUUUAAAGCUCAUUCAAAGCACAAAAUAGUUUUCUGUUAUGGUCCCAAAACAAACAAUCAGUUGAAUGCUCGAAUCAAUCGGUUGUUUUGGUUUGACAGCAAGUCAACCAUCAAAAACAGUUUUCAACCUUUCUAAAAACACUUAAGUAUAAAACAAUUGGUUGUUUCGACAAAAUAACAGGUUAUUUUUCACUUAGUUUAAAAAAAAACUUUCAAUUAAAAGGUUUGAGAAUGCUUAAGUUUUGGAUUCAAUCAAGAGUGGAUUAACACAGACAAUCUACCCCAUAUCCUAUUCUAAAACACCUCAGCAACAGCAAACACAUCCAGCCUUCCUUCGAUCUUCAAAGGAUUUGGAUUCUUUAAAGCUUGAACACACUUGAUUCAACAAACACUACUUAGUGUUGACCUUCAAAGGACGAUCCUAAUGAUUUAGAGUAUACUACAUGUGCAAUGCAAAUCUCACAUUAUUAACUAAUUAGCAUUGUUUUUACUUAUUAAAGUUUGAACGAUCCUAUAAUAAUGUAUUUUCUUAUAGCAGAAAUAAAAGUUAAAAACUUUUCAAAAGGAAAUAGAAACUAAAAAUGAUAACAAAAUAUAAAAAUCAAGUUGGAGAAGAUAAUUUUGAGAACAUGUAUUAGUUAUGGUGACUUUAAUUGAAUUUCUCACCAUCAAUUCGGGGAAAAACAAUUUUCAACAACAAUAAAUAGUUAAAUAAAUAGAAAUAUUAGGAGUACUUCAGCCAUAUACAAAAACCUACCCUGUAGAAAAGGCUAAUACAAAGUAGGAAAAUACCCAACACCGUAUAGAUUAAUAUGAAUAUAUAUCCAUGAGUAUGGUGUAUAGAACCUCUAACAAAAAGUUAUAAUAGUGCUUCAUUCAUACAUAAUGUCAGGGAAUAAAAACGCCUAACAACACGGCCCUUCCUAUCACAAAGCUGGUACGUCUUCAGACUCACUAUCUGAUGGGGAUUUUUUGAACUGCAAUUUGAGAUUAUGUGAGCCCAGAAUUUCGGGGGAAUCAUCUAAGUUAUGGGAGAUUGGAAAGCAAUCUGGGAUAAUCUGUAGGUGGGACGAAGAAGAGGUUGUGAAAGAAUACGAUUGCAUGGAAGAGAGAGAUGUUCAGGUUAUGGAAAAGUAUGAGGAGGGUAAAAAGAAAGAGCAUCUAUGUUGAUAGUAAAUUUGAACAUAAGAAGGUUAGGGGGAAGUACUAAAGCUCGAUAUUUAAAGCACAUUAUAACUAGAGAGGAGGCGGAUUUUGUAUGUAUUCAGGAAACAAAACAGAUGGUCCUUUCGGAUGCAAGAUGCUUUUCCUUAUGGGGGGAUAAUAAUGUGGGAUGGGUACAUUACGGAGGAGACAAUGGUAGUGGUAGUCUGCUCUCUAUGUUGCAUAAAGAAGUUUUCUGCUAUGACUCUCAUGUGAUGGGGAAGGGGUUUAUUGUUGUGUUUGGCCAACAUAAGGGUUCAAAAUGUAGGUGUGUGGUGGUGAAUGUUUAUGCUAAUUGUUCCCUGAGUGAGAAGGUAUCCUUGUGGGGGGAACUGACAAACCUAAAGAAGGGUUCAGCAGACUCCGUUUGGUGCUUCUGUGGUGACUUCAAUGCCAUAAGAAAGCGGUGUGAAAGAAAAGGAGUUAAUAUGCGGGACAACCAAUCCAAUGAGAUGAGAGGUUUUAAUAGCUUCAUUGAUACUAAUUUUCUUAUUGAAAUACCUUUGGUGGGAAAGCCCUUUACGUGGUUUAAUUCAAAUGGCAAGGCUAAGAGCAGGCUAGACAGGGUGUUGGUUACCGAAGAUUGGAUGCAAACAUGGCCUAUGUGCAAGCAAUAUGUGCAACGUAGGGAGGUGUCAGACCAUUGCGCCAUAGUGGUGAAAUCUGUGGAGAAGGACUAGGGUCCUAAACCUUUCAGAUCUAUAGAUGCAUGGUAUACGGAACAGGGUUUUGGCCAUAUGGUGAAGGAAAAAUGGAUAUCCUAUCCCUCUCAGGGGAAUGCCUUCACAGUGAUAAAAGAAAAGAUGAAGAGGUUGAAGGGGGAUUUGAAGGUGUGGAAUAGGGAUGUCUUUGGAAAUCUGGAGACAACAAAGAAAUCCAUUUUGUUGGAGCUUGAGGCUCUAGAUUGCCAAGACUGUAGUGUAGGGUUAUUGGAAGAUGAGAGAUUACACAGAAUUGGUUUGGUGAGUAGAUUGAAGGAGACUGAUAAGAAGCUAGAGUCUUUGUUGUGCCAAAAAGCUAGAGCCAGUUGGUUAAAGAGUGGAGACUCAUGCACGGAAUUUUACCACACUUCUCUAAGAUGGAGACGGCUAAAAAAUGAAGUUAAAGGUGUUAAGGUGGGGGGCCAGUGGUGUGAAGAGCCUUGUACAAUCCGUGGUGAAGCUAAGAAGUUGUUUGAAAAAAGGUUUGAGGCAACAAGAGAUUUUGGUGUUAGACUUGAUGCGGUAGAGUUUAAUUCUUUAAACCAGGAGGAGAAUUUAAAGCUGAUAGCAGAGUUCACAGAGAAGGAAGUUAGGGAUGCGGUGUGGCUUUGUGAAGGUUCCAAGUCCCCAGGACCUGACGGGUUUAAUUUUCUCUUCAUAAAGAAAAGCUGGGAGUUCAUCAAAGUAGAGUUUAUGGCAGCUUUGGCUUCUUUUCAUAGUACAGGUCAUAUUCCCAAAGGUUGUAAUGCCUCUUUCAGUGCUCUUGUUCCUAAAGUUGGAGAUCCAAUCCUGCUUGAGCAGUAUCGUCCUAUCUCUUUAGUUGGGGCCACCUACAAAAUUAUCUCUAAGGUCCUAGCAGGAAGAAUGAAGAAUGUACUUUCCUCUAUUAUUAAUGAAAGCCAGUCGGCUUUUAUUAAGAACAGAGGGAUACUCGAAAGUGUGCUUAUGGGUAAUGAAGUAGUGGAGGAUCUCAGGAGGAGUGGGAGAAGUGGAUUGUGUCUGAAGGUGGAUUUUGAAAAGGCGUACGAUUCGGUUAGCUGGGUCUUCCUUUACGACAUGCUCCAAAGGUUAGGGUUCCAUAGUAAGUGGAUUGGUUGGACCAGAGGUUGUAUGGAAAGUGCAACAUUCAGUUCUGGUUAAUGGGAGCCCUGCGGAGGAAUUCAAACCCUCGAGAGGGUUGAGGCAGGGCGACCCUCUUGCGCCAUUCCUCUUUACAGUGGUAGCAGAAGGUUUGGCUGGUAUAGUAAGGCAAGCGGAAAAGGCCAGAUUACUUUCUGGUCUUAAGAUUGGGAGAAAGGAGGUUGUACUGAGUAUCCUACAGUAUGCAGAUGACACUGUUUUUUUCUGUGAGGACUCUUACACCAACGUGGUGACACUGAAAUCCAUCCUCAGGGGGUAUGAGCUCGCUUCAGGGCUGAAGAUCAAUUUUCACAAGUCAAAACUUACAGGUAUUAAUGUUCAAAGAAGUAAUCUUGAUUGCUACACAAAGACUUUGAAUUGUGUUCAGACGGGUUUCCCGUUCAAAUAUUUGGGUCUUGAAGUGGGAGGUAAUUCGAGAAAGAAGAAGUUUUGGGAGCCUGUGAUAAACAAACUUAAAGCAAGGCUCAACGUGUGGAAAGGAAGAUUCCUAUCUAUGGCAGGGAGAAUAUGCCUUAUUAAAUCUGUUUUAUCCUCCGUCCCGCUAUACUAUCUGUCACUUUUCAGAGCACCGAUCACGGUUUGUAGAAGUAUCACCAGAAUCCAAAGGAGGUUCCUAUGGGGGUGGGGGAAGGAGAAGGAGACGAUAUCAUGGGUAAGUUGGAAAGAGUUAUGUAAGCCAAAAGAGGAGGGUGGUCUGGGUUUGAGAGAUGUGCAUAACUUCAAUCUUGCUUUGCUGGCUAAAUGGAGAUGGCGUCUCCUAGUGGAUGAAAAAGUUAGGUGGAAGGAUCUGUUGGUCUCGAAGUAUGGAUCGAGUUCUAAUGCUUCACAGUCACCAGUGAAACUUCAAUCAUGAUGGUGGAGAGACUUGUUCAAAGAUUGCAGGGAGGACAGAGGAGAUGAUUGGUUCAACAAAGAGAUCGGGUGGAAGCUAGGAUGUGGGGACAAAGUAAAGUUUUGGAAAGACAUAUGGAUUGGGAACUUUAAUCUCAAAUCGAUGUACCCAAGGCUUUUUUCUUUGUCUUUAAAUCAGGGGCAAAAGGUGGAGGAGGCUAGAGUGUGGAUUGGAACGGUAUGGCAGUGGUGUUUAAGGUGGAGGCGUCCUAGAUUUGUGUGGGAAUCUGAAUUGGAAGUAGAAAUGAUGAGGCAUUUGUCGUCGAUUAAGUUGAGCAGAGAACAAAAGGACGUCCAAGUGUGGGGGAAUGAUGUAGGAAAUGGGUUCUCUGUGAAUUCUGCUUAUGAUUGCCUUACAAAACAACGUAGAGGCUCACACUCAGAGGUAUUCAUAAACCUUUGGAAGGUUAAAGCUUUCCCUAGUUUGGUGACUACAACGUGGAGGAUCCUUGUUGGGUUUAAUAGUGCCAAAGUUCAAGAGGGGGGUGAAUUGACCUUUUAAAACUUUCUCGCAGAAACAGUGUUUAACACAGUUUUACAGAAAAUAAAUCGAAUUAUGUAAAAAUGAACAGAUUUAUUUCAGCACUGUUUUUGUUUGAAAAGCUUUUAAUACAGCAAGAUUAAUCACAAGAUUAUGCAGAUAGAUUUUCCAGAUGCACACACACAGAUAUCAUAUUGAAAAACAGUGAAACACAGAAAACAACAAACCUUAAUUCCAAUUAAUGUGAUUUAGGUUCAGUUAAGGGCUUGACAAUUAGUGAGACAAUCUAUCACAUACAACCUGUUUUAUUAGCCUUUAACAGAUUAUCAGUGUUCUUGUUAAAACCAGACAGUUUUCCAGAAAUUAAGAACAAUAUGCACAGCGCCCAGAAAGAACAGAUUUAUUUUCAAUUGAACAGAUUUAUUUCUUUGCUGUUUUAUCAAUUAUGCAGAAACGAAAUUGCAGAGAGUGAGAGAGAAUGAACACAAGCANNNNNNNNNNNNNNNNNNNNNNNNNNNNNNNNNNNNNNNNNNNNNNNNNNNNNNNNNNNNNNNNNNNNNNNNNNNNNNNNNNNNNNNNNNNNNNNNNNNNUUAUACUGGUUCACUCAACUGAGCUACAUCCAGUCUUCACCAACACCAGGUGGAAAUCACUAAACCACAGUACAACCAAGUACAAUUCCCACUGUUCUUGAAACCUACAAGAACUUAGGUACUCUUGCUGAAAAAACCUAUUUCAGCACACACACACCCACUCUUCAAGAACACCUAUCAAGAAGAGUGUUCAACCAAACUAUUACAAGAAAUGAGAAGUGAAACGACUCCACCUGAUUGAGGAUACAAAGAUCUACCUUAAACCAGUAGGCAAGAUUGCUAGAACAGUAGCAGCACCUCACACCAAACUUUUGGAACCAAACCAAGAACAAGCACUUUGUGAUUUUUGAAAUCUUUGAAGAACAAAUGCUAAUCAUUUGUAAACUUUUGAUUCUUUGCUGUAAAACUUGUUUUUGCAAAUGUAUGAACUGUUGUUAAACUCAGAAACAAGUUUGCAUUUUAUAGAAAACCAACUUAUAACAGAUUUUUGAAAAACAGUUAAAGCUGUUAUAAAAUGAACAGAUUGAAAAUAAAAUGAACAGAUUUAUUUUCAAAAAACAGUUAGAGAAUUUGUUAAGUGAGGAGACUUAGUCAACCAUUCUGGUGCAGAGAUAAAACUGAAAACGUUUAAGCUUGACAUGGCACCAGAGACAAAAAGNNNNNNNNNNNNNNNNNNNNNNNNNNNNNNNNNNNNNNNNNNNNNNNNNNNNNNNNNNNNNNNNNNNNNNNNNNNNNNNNNNNNNNNNNNNNNNNNNNNNAGUCAAAAUACCUGAUGCACAAAAUCUAAUUUUCACAAGACUUAGCCAAGGCAUCAGUGUAAAAACGAAUCUGUUUAUUUAGAAAAGAACAGAUUUAUUUUUAUGCAGUAAACGUGUUUUUUGUAAAACAUGUGAAAAACAGUUUAAGAAAACUUAUGCUUGUUCUUAUCACAUGGCCAGUGGUUAUGAGGUGAGUUACUCAGCAAAAAGCCCACUCUUAGACAACCUCUAAGCACUACCUAAGACAUACUUAAAGCAAAGCAAAAUACAAAUGUAAUGUACAUAGAUGUCUUCAUCAAACACAAUCUUGAAGGAGCAACAACCAUCUUCAACAAUCCUGACGAACAGUGUACCAACAAGAGAAUGUCUAAGUAGGAGAGGGGUGAUGUUAAAUAAUGCCUUAUGUGCUCUGUGCCAGGUUAAUGCUGAAUCAUGUCAACAUCUUUUUUUGGAGUGUAAACACGCGAUGAGUGUUUGGUUCAUGUGCUUUAGAUGGGUUGGGAUUCUGUUUGUUCAACAUAAUGAUGUAAAGACCCACUUUGAGAAUUUCCACUUGUUUCAGAUUAGCAGUAAACAAAAUAUGGUUUGGAAAGGGAUUUGGACAGCAGUGGUUAGAUGCAUAUGGGACCAAAGGAAUUCGGUGGUGUUCAAGCAAGGUGUUGUGGAUGUGGAGGAGAUUUUUCAAAAGGUACAGUUAAAAUCCUGGUUAUGGGUAAAGCACCAUUCUUCUUUCUUCUCUUAUUCCUUAGUGGACUGGAUUUUGAAUCCAAUCCCCUGUAUAAAAAGCAUUAAGUAAUUGGGGCUGGUAGGUAUUGUUUCAGCUGGGAAUGUCGGGCUUGUUUAACCUCUGUGGGGCACGUGUGCAGUUAUGAAAACUUGUUAUUCUGUGCUGGAGGAUGCUCAAAUAGGUGCAGACAGUAGGCCGAAGUGAUUGGGGUACAUUAGAGGAAUUUAUCGGAUUUAUGCAGAAAGGUGGUUUGGCCACAAUGAGCAAAAGUUAGAGGCAUAGGACCAGUAAGAGGACAUGAAGUUUUGGGGUUGCUGUUUGGGUUUGCUGGGGCUGCAGAGGUCCCGUAAUGGGAUGCAAAGACGCUGAGCCUAGGGUUGUAAUAGGUGGGAUGUUGUUCGACGUGAGGAAUGGUGAGGAAUGGAGAGGUAACUUAUAUAACAACUAGGAUUUUUUUAGUGUAGAUUGACAGGGAGGAGCACCAACCAUGAAGAAUCAGAAUUGGAGAAGUUCUGGAAAAUCCUGCUGCUGGUGCAUAAACAAGAGCAGGAACUUUAUCUGUUUCUUUUUUCUUUGUCUUAGGAACAAAUCUUAUGUCUUUGGCUGAGUAAUUGAAAGCUUCUCCAUGCUUUUAAUUCUCUGGAUUGUAAUUGAGUAUUUGAUAUUUGUAUAAGGGUUGGGAUACCCCUCAAGUGUCCCGUUUUUAUUCAUUAAUUCAUUGCUGAUCAAAAAAAAAAAAAACACCACUAUACUUCUCAACCACAAUUCCUAAAAUUACGCACAAAAAUGACCCAACCAACCUUGUUACAAAUCUUAUAAAAUUAAAUAGAUACAAUUGGUAGAGCUCCAACUAAAGUAAAUUGCUUGUAGUUCAAUAGAAGGGAUUGUGUAUAUGUAUUUUAAAUUCCAAUGGUUAGUGUGAAGAAAUGACACAUAAUCAAUCUUAUACAACUCAUUUCCCCAUCUUCUAUAACAUAUGGUGUUUUUGUUCCAAUCCUAAGUUCCAUUAUAGACUGAUAACUCUUGGUUUUCAAUACUUUUAUAGAGUAAUUGCAUUUUCUUGAGGUUUUUUUUUUGUUUUUAUUUUCUAAUUUUAGAUUAGAUUUGUAUUUUCUUCCAAAUAAUAUAGUUUUAAUAAAAAUAUCAUUAAAAUUGCAUUUUAUAGUUUUUAUUUUGCUUGAAUCAUCUAACGUGUGCUUUGAUCAUUUAAAGGAACAAUUUUUGAAUUGCUUUUGAUCUUGGAAGCUUGGAAGAAGAUGUUGAUGCAUGGAGAUUGGAAACCGACACUUAAAGAGCAUAAAUUAUGCAAAAAUCAGGCAACUAACAGUAAAGAGUUAGUAGUAAAUUGGAACUAGAUGAUCAACUUAACCCUCAAAGAAAGAACUUAAGUUAGUUUAGAAUUGAUCUUUUGGGUCCAAUUGAAAGCCCAUCGUUUGUAAAAAUUAAAAACUCUAUAGAGUAUACAACACCAUUUUUCACUUUAGGCCACGUUGACAUGUCAACGGGUAAAAAAGUGUUGCCUGAAGUAGGUAUAAGUAACAGUUUGUUAUUGUUGUCCAUGCAGUAAGGCUUAUUUCUCUGUGAAAAAUAUUUGGAAAAACGUUGUCUAUUUAUUUUAAGCAACAUUUUAAAAAACGUGGGAUAAGUUAUUAAAAUGUGAUUACUUUAGGCAACGUUUUUAGAAAUGUGGAUAUUUAAUUUUAGCAUUUUAGGCAACAUUUUUUAAAAUACGGAAGCUUUAACUAAUAUUUUAAAUAAUAUUUUUAAAGUGAUUAAAUAACUUUUAGGCCAAGUUUUUAAAUUGUGGAUAAUUAAGCCCACGUAGUGUAAAGACUCGAAAUUCACCUUGUCAUUGAGCUCGAAGUUCGGACUCGAGACUAAGACUCUUGCAUAUAGACAUUGAACCAGGGGAAAUCGCGUCUAAACCCUAAGUUGAAACGAGAAUUCAAAGUCAUUUGUUACGAAUCAAGAGCGGCAUUGUGUGAAUUUUGAUCAACGGUUCAAGGUAACCAGGAGAAAUCGCCUCUAAACCCUUAAGUCAAAACGAGAAUUCAAAGUCGUUCGUUACGAACCAAGAGCGACAUUGUGUGAGUUUCGAUCAACGGUUGAAGGUAACUAGGAGAAAUCACGUCUAAACCCUAAGCUGAAACAAGAAUCUGAAGUCGUUCUUUAUGAAUCAGGAGUGACAUUGUGUGAGGUUCGAUCAACGGUUGAAGGUAAACGGUACGUUCUUCAAAUUGAUUCACCCUUCUCCAUUUCAGGUCAAUCAAUUUCUCUGUCUUCGUAUUAAUCUUUUGCUUCCGUGAUGCAUCACAAUUUUUUUUCCUUUUUAUCAUUGUUUUUCAAUCAUUAUGAUUUUUUUAGGGUUGUUUUUCCAUAUGGUUUUGUUAAUUUGCAUUUUUUUAUGAUUCCCAACAGUGAUUUGAUAAUAUAUGUAGAAUUAUGAGUGUUUAUUUUCCUGUUGAGUUGAAGUUUGGAAUGAAUAUUGGUGUUUUUGUAUUUUGGAGUAGGAGGAUCACAUGUGAAGUUAGAUGAGAUGUUGUUAACAAGACGUAACUCAUGUGGGAUUGGAAUAAUUACUCAACCAUAGUAAUAAGCAGCGAAUAAUAAUUUCCUCAACUUGUAAGAAUUUGUGAGGAUCAAUAACAAAUAAUGGCAACAACAAAAAAUACAUUGAAGAAAAAUACAAAAUUAUUAAUGUAAAAAACCUUUCCAAUGUGAGAAGUAAAAAUCACAUACACAAACCAGUCAAUCAAAUUUCACUAUAAUCAAAAUUAAAAGAGAGUAUCAUAUUAGCACAAAUUACCCUUAAUAAUCACGUUCUUAGUCUUCCGAUAGUUGUUUUCGUAUACUUGGAACCUAAUUACUUGAGUGAAGGCUAACACUAGAAGAUUCAACACAAGACCGUUUAACCUACCCACAUUUAUAAUUCAAUUAUUACUAUCAGUUGGAGGAGACAACAAAUAAAUAUCAAGCUAUUAAGGUUAAUAUCUUUUAUCUUCAAUAUACAAGUGGUUGACAGCUGCAACAAUCUCAAAGUUUCCAAGGGCCUUGCCACCUGCACUGAACAAUCAAUGAGAGAGUAAUGAUGUGAUGAAACAAAAAAUGAAAAAAAAAUUGCAGCCUCUUGUAUCAUUCAAUCCUAGUGUUAAAGCUCUUCUCUACCAUCUUGUACUUUUCUGCAGUGGAAAGUUUUGACUUCAGCAAUCCAUCAACUUGGUCUUUUCCCUCUGUAGCAAUGAAUGAUCUAUUUAACAAUACCACUUCCAUUGGACUUAACAAAGCUCAAAUGGAUUUUGUUCAAAACUACCUCAAUACCACUACCAUUGCACUUCUUUCUCUAAUCCUCUUUUGUUUAUUCUUCUACAAUCCCUUCAAUUUUUUUCACACCAAAGAGGCUCCCACUGUUGCAGGAGCAUGGCCAAUACUUGGUCACCUUCCACUUCUGAGUGGUUCAAAGAGACCCCAUAGAACUUUGGGUGCUUUGGCUGACAAAUAUGGACCCAUUUUCACCAUCCAACUUGGUGCCAAAAGGGCUUUGGUAAUCAACAACUGGGAAACGGCAAAGGAAUGUUUCACCACAAACGACAUGGCCGUUUCCUCUCGCCCCAAGCUCAUCGCGAUUGAACUCAUGGGCUACAAUGCCAUGUUUGGCUUUGUACCCUAUGGUCCCUAUUGGCGCGAGUUACGAAAGAUUGUAACUUUAGAAAUCCUUACUACUCGUCGAGUGGAACAACUGCAGCAUGUUCGUGUCUCAGAACUUCAAAACUCGAUCAAAGAGUUGCAUAAUGUUUGGUGUAGCCAAAAGAGAGAGUCUGGCUAUGCCUUGGUGGAGCUGAAGCAAUGGUUUUCUGACCUCUCAUUCAACAUGGUUCUUCGAAUGGUCGUUGGGAAGAGAUAUUUUGGUGGUGAAAACUUGCAAGAUGAGAAGACAAAGAGAUGUGUGAAGGCUGUGGAGGAGUUCAUGCGUCUGUUGGGGGUGUUCACAGUGGGAGAUGCUGUUCCAUGGUUGAGAUGGUUUGAUUUUGGAGGGCAUGAGAAGGCAAUGAAAGAAACUGCGAAAGAGUUGGAUAGUAUUAUAGGUGAGGAGUUAGAGGAACAUAGAAAAAGGAAGGGUUUGGGUGAGAAGGUUGAUGAAGCUCAAGAUUUCAUGGAUGUAAUGAUUUCAUUGCUUGAUGGAACAACUAUUGAUGGGAUCGAUGCAGAUACCAUGAUCAAAUCCACCCUACUGGUAUGAAUGUUUAAUUUACACGUUAUAAUGCUUUUGAAAUGUGAAACUUUAAGAAAAUUAAACACGUAAAUACAACAUAGUUCUUAAUUAAAUCUGAAAUAUUUUCUCAGGAACUUACCUCAGAUAUGAAGAUAUGUAUUUUACUUCGUCGGUUUAAAAUCAGUUGUAUGAAAAUAUAAGGUGUAACACUUUCGUUAAUGAUGUAAAAACAUUACAAAAUUCUUCACGAAAGUGUGUUUUAUCGUCUUUACCGUUUAUAUGGGAUUUGUUUGAUAGUGGGGAGAGAUAUAAGUGUUUUUUGGGAGAGUGAGUAGUGAUGUUGUGAUUGGGGGAGAAAGGGUAGUGAGGUUGAGAAUGGAGAUAUUGAUGGUGGAAAGGGACAUUUGUGGUGUUGCUUGAAUGAAAAUCAAUGGACCACCACUUACAAUUUUUUUUUCUGUUUUCUACUUAGAUUUGGUUUUUGUGAAAAAUAAUGAUAUUUUUGAUAAAAAAAAAACAUGUAAAUUCUACAUCAUUAGUUUAGAAAUUGUUUACUUUUUCGAUGGUGGAAAUAUACAAUGAUUGUAGAACUCAUGCAAAUAAUUCCUAGAAAAUAAAUAAAAUUAAAUAACUUUUCUUGUAAAUUGAAAUUAACUUUAACCUAAGUUAUUUUAAAAAAUAAGUUUUUCAAAGAUAACCUUAAUUUUCUUCCCUGAAAUAUUUUCGUUCGGUAACUUGUUUGAUUUGCAGACAGUGAUUGCAGGAGGAACUGACACAAGCAAUACAGUUCUUAUAUGGACAAUAUCUUUGAUUUUAAGAAAUCCUUUGGUGUUGGAAAAAGUAAAAGAGGAACUAGAUAUUCAUAUUGGGAAAGAAAAAUGCGUAAGGGAAUAUGAUAUAAGUAAGUUAACAUAUCUUCAAGCUAUAGUAAAAGAAACUUUAAGAUUGUAUCCUCCUGUUCCUCUUUCGGUACCUCGUGAAUUCAUAAAAAAUUGCACUUUGCAAGGCUACAAUAUAAACAAAGGAACCCGACUAAUCACAAAUCUUUGGAAGAUUCAUACAGAUGGUAAUGUUUGGGAAGAUCCUUUGGAGUUCAAACCAGAAAGGUUUCUUACAACUCAUAAAGAUAUUGACAUCAAAGGCCAUCAUUUCGAGUUAUUACCAUUUGGAGGUGGCAGAAGAAUGUGUCCAGGAGUAUCCUUUGGACUUCAAAUGGUGCAUUUCAUUCUUGCUAGUUUUUUGCAUUCUUUUGAAAUUUUAAGUUCAUCACCUUAUACUAUAGACAUGACUGAAACCUUUGGAUUAACCAACACCAAAGCCACUCCACUUGAUAUUCUUAUUAAACCGCGUCUAUUUCUUAGUUGUUAUGAAAACAACAAAUCCUUGUAUUAACCACGUGGUUACAUUGUAUUUUUAUUCAAAGUA
rnacentral:lncRNA from 1 species